rnacentral:lncRNA from 1 species
GGAUGCUUCCUGUGCUUUCCGAUACGACCAUGUCCGGCGCUGACGUGACCACGCUUCUUCCUGUUCUUCUUGAAUCUGGUAGUCAUUUUCUCCUCGGCUGCGGCGGCAAAAUGGGGAAAAGGGAAAGUGCGGCAGUGAGAGAAUGGUAAGUCUAGGGUUUUCAGACAUUUAUAGAUGGAAGAUCGAUGGAUUGGGCCCAAUAGCAAUUUUUGCCAUUAGGGUUUUGACAGGGCUGUUAGUAGUUAGAUAUGGGCUUGGGUGAAAUUUGGAUAAUUGUAGCGAGAAUAUGAAGGAGAGAGCGACUGACAAACAGUUUGCUAUAGAAUACAAAUAAAUUAAGCGGUAGCUAUUUAUUUAUUUUAUAUUGUUAGUCUGUGAUUGUAUACAAUUAUCCCAAUUUUUGUAUUUGGUGGUAAAUAUAAGGGAAACUUUUACAUAUAGCCAGUUAAAAAUAAUUAAUUACUCUCCAUAGCUAUAGUUUAAUAAUUACAAUUCGUAAUUACAUGUUAUAUGGAGGAGAGAGGUGAGCGAGACUGGAAGAGAGAGGAGAGAGGCGAGAGGGGGGGGGGGAAGAGUGGGAGAAAGGUGAAUAUAUUGGUUAGAUAAUUGUAUAUUAUACAUAGGUAUUUGUAUAUAUGGAAACAGAGAUUGAGAGAGGGAGGAGAGAGGCAAGCGAGACUGGAAGAGAGAGGGUGGAGAGAGGCGAGCGAGAUUGAUAGAGGGGGAGAAUAGCGAGCGAGAGAAGGCAGAGAGUGGGAGAGAGGUGAAUUGUAUAUGUAUAUAAUUGUAUAUUAUACAUAUACAUUUGUAUAAAUGGCAAGCGAGAUUCGGAGAGGGAGGAGAGAGGUGAGCGAAAUUGAGAUAGGGAGGAGAGAGACGAGUGAGAUUGAGAGUGGGAAAAGAGAAGCGAGCGAGAGAGGGCAGAGAUGGGGAGAGGUGAAUUAUAUAUGUAUAUUGGUUUAAAAAUUGUAUAUGAUACAUAUUUAUUUGUAUACCCUGGCGAAUUAUACAUAUACAAACAUGAUUAAUUAUAUAAACUCGAAGUUAUCGCACGUAAUGAAUGUAUAAUGUUAGUCGCGAGUGAUAAUUAUAGCAAAUUAUAGCUAUGAUGAGUAAUUAAAUAGUAUAAGUUUGUUUAGCCGCGUAAUUUCCCCUGAAUAUAAGUGAAAAGAAAAAAUAAUUUUUUCGUGUUUUUCAAAUUUCUUAAAAAUAAUUCGAUGAAAGUUUUUCACUAGACUGCGAAAAACACAUUUAGCCAUAAAAUUCUAAAAAUUAACUUCAAGUUAAAUUUCUUAAUUUUUCAAAAAUUUAAAAAAGCAACAAAAAAAUAUUUCUACUUCUAUUUUUCACUCCAUUUAACUUACAAAAAAAAUUAAAAUAACUCCAAUUUAUAUUCGUGAUCGAACACAAUUGCAUGCAAAUUUUAACUAUCAUUUUUUCACUUUGAAGAUAAUCAAUCACCAAUUAAUAAUUGAUUUUAUUUCAGAUGAAAUAGCAUAUAAGGGACAACAAACAAACAACACAUCAAAUUGGUGAUGAAGUUGAGGUUGCAAGUCAAGAGUUGUUAGGCUUUAUAGGUUCUUACUUGCGUGCAACUAUUCUUUACCCCGUUGGCGCUUUACAUUACAAAGUCCAAUACAAGACUCUUGUGAUUGAUGAUGAAAUCGCGCCACUAGAAGAGACUGUAUGUGUCUCUGAGGUCCGUCCUGUUCCACCUACUCUUGCAUCUGAAACAAGGUAAAUGGUAAAAUAUGAUAUUGUAGAUUUGAAGAAAUUUUUUUGUUAUUGUAGUCUCUACAUGUUUAAGAACUUUGUUACAUUCUUUUUUUCCCAAUAUUUUGAUUGAAUUUGCCUGUUAAUAUGCAUUUUGCAUUUUCAUGUUGCCUUUGAUUAAAACUCUGUUUUGGCUGCCAACCACUCUACACACUUAUAAUUCUAUAUCUAUUUAGUACCUGGUGUAGGUAUGUACUUAAUGGUAAGAAAAAUAUGCACGAGGCAGACGCGAAAUCCAGGGGAAAUAGGAGAUCAUAAAUGCUUAAAGAAUUAGCAAAUUAUAAUGGUUGUUACUAUCAAAGACACCAAUUUGUCAAGAUCUACAGGGUUCUUGGACAUGUCACAUUCUAAGUAAAAACUAUACCUUUAAUGUAAAAGAAACUUUGUAUUUCUCUUUGGACAUGAACCUUUUUCUCACAUGGAAAGUUUUGGACCAUAUCAUAAUGUUCUGAUAUUACAAUUCAAUUUGAAGGAUCAAAAUGUAUGGUGUAUUCAACAUGUUGGAAUACCAGUGUUUAUCAUGUAGAACUGAGUGUUAAACACGCAUGAAAAUUGACUUUUUAGUGAAAAGUGCUAGUUAAGUUCAGUCAAGUGUAAACCAUUCAUUUUGCCUUUAGACUCAUUUAGGAUUCUUAAGAAGCAAAUACUGUUGUCUGUGUUGCAGUAGAAAUGAUUCCUUUAUGAAGUAAACAUCGUCGAGUUAUAUGCAAGAGAACUUAAUAACAGAAACUUAAUAUUUACUAUUAUAGUAAGCUAAAGUACUGGGAAGAAAACUUGUUACAUUGUUUUCUCAAUCGAAUUUUCUGGAAAAGCAUAUGCAUUCAAGGAAAUUCCUUGUAAUCUCAGGCUGCCUUAGAUUACAACUCUGUUUUGGCUGCUGCACUUGGCUAACCACUUUAACCUCUCAGAACUCUGGUGCAUUUUUUUGAACAUAUUCUCCUAUAUCUUGUCCAUUCUUUACUAGCCUGAAAUGGACAAAUAAUAGCAUUAUAGCAUGCUUGAACUUUGAUAAUUUCAUGUUGUGGUGGAGAACUAUGUUUACCUCGUGGAACGCGGUGGCCUGUUUCCAAUAAUAAGGCUUGUAAUGUUGACAACAGGUAUAAGGUCAAGUAAUGCUUUAGCUGGUGAAUUGCUUUCCACAAGCAUAGUAUCAACUGGUACCUAGCAGCCAAAGUAAAAUCAAGAACUGUCCUGUAACAAUGUUUUCGAAUAUUGGAUGUGAAGAUUCUGAUUGAUAUAGACUUGAACCUACUUUGGCAUCGUUGCAUAGGCGAAUGUAUUUCACCAAGAGACUCUUCCUCCUAUUAUUCUCUUCAUUGAUGUAGACUUGCACUUGCUCUUUGCUCAAUUGGCUUCUUGAUAAGUUCCCAACUAUCAUACAAAAUUCAACUUAGCUGUCAAAUUUUCCUCAGUUUCUAUAUAAAAAAAUAGCUUGGUGCUCAAAGCAUCUCGCGUUUCACGCAGGAGCAAGGUAAACAUCGCGCCCAUAGGGGUGUGUAAUGUAAGCAAUCUAUCCUAAUGCAAGUAUCGGUGCAAGGCAUCCUGCAUUCAUGUAAGGUACGUGGAAGGGCUUCACCCUGAGGGGGUUUAAUAUAAGCACCCUGCCCUGAUGCACUUGUUAGUGGCUGAUUAUCCACGUCAUGAACCUAUAAUCUAUAUGUCACAAGUUCGAGUCAAUUUUACCAGUGAUCCAAGCAGUCGUGUAGCCACAUUGGACACCCUUCGUCGGAAUAUUAUAUCGUAUAUACAAGUAAAAUGACACAACAAUAUGAUGUAGCCUAGUGGUUUCAGGCACCUUGAAAUAGUAAAGAUACAAAAAAUUAAAGUGUUUGUGUGUUUAGAUUUCACUACUAGCAAAAAAAAUUCACUUUUUAAGAAGAGCAGAUUCACUUUAGCAUUUCGACACCCUUCGUGAAAAUCCUGGAUCGAAGGCUCCACAUCCCUUUGUUCCUAGAAAGUAUUCACCUAUUAACUAACUUUUAUCUGACUUAAGACAAGAUAUAUGAUGAAAAAUCCUAGGAUUCUUGUCACUAUUGAGAUAGCAGCAGCAACAAGAAAAUUGAACCAUUAUAUUCAAUAUACUCUUGAAUUUCCUGAUUAUUGAAUGAAUCGCUGACGUGAUAUAUCGAAUAUAGAGAUAUGUAUGUACAAGAACAAUAGUUACCUGGUGUUGGAAUGUACUUGAUAGUAGGAAAAAUAUGCACGAGGCAGACGCGAAAUCCAGGGGAAACAGCAUGAUCAAGUGCCCAUUGAACAACAUACAAGUCAUUUUUUCCAACAACUACAUAAACAUCAUUAGUUUCUGCAUCUUUUAUUGUACUACUCUUGCUAUCUUCUCCAAUCUCUUCGAUUUCCCUAGACAUCUCUUUCGACAAAUCUUGAAUAUAGCCGAUAACAACGAUGCUAGUUGUGGUGCUCAAUUCUGGUCCCUCAUUUGAUGGUGGUUUCUAGCGAAGACACCAACAAUGUAAUUUUUUUGUCAAGUUGUGGAGUGUUUCUUGGAUAUGUCACAGUCUAUGUAACAACUGUUCCUUUGAUGUAAAAAGAAACUUUUUUUAAUGCUUAUAGAAAAGAAUGAUGGUGGUUGCUAACAAAGACACCAAUAAAAUGAAAAAAAAAAGGAGAGUUUUAUGUGAAUUUUUUUUUCAUGUCUAACAUCUGUAGCCUGUAGGGUUCUUGGACAUGCCAUAUUCUAAGUAAAAAUUGUUCCUUUUUUAUGUAAAAGAAACAUUUUUUUUUUCACAUGGGCAAGUUUUAUUGGACCAUAUCACAAUUUUAUGAUAGUGCAAGUCAAUUUCUAAUGCUUUGAUUUUUCUCUUUUUCCUUUACUUGUGAUCUGUUUUUUCCAGAAUUGUCUCUUUCCAUGCUUAAAGGAUCAAAAUGUUAUAGUCUAUGCAACAAAUCUAACUAUUAUUAUAACCAUACAACAUUAAAGUAUCCGAUUGAGUCAGACAUUUUAUUAAGGAGUGUUAAAAUGUAAGUAUGUAAACAUAUCCUAACAAAAAAGAUCAAAAUGUAUAGUCUAUGCAACACAUCUAACUAUUACUAUGACAAUAAAAGAUUAAAGUAUGUGAUAGAGUCAGAUAUUUUAUUAAGGAGUCUUAAAACGUAAGUAUGACAUACCUGAAGAAAAAAGAAAAAAGAAGAUCCGAUGAAGUCAGACAUUUUAUUAAGGAAUGUUAAAAUGUAAGUAUGUAAACAUACCCCAACAAAAAAGAACAAAAUGUAUAGUCUAUGCAACACAUCUAACCAUUACUAUAACAACAAAAGAUUAAAGUAUCAUACCCCAACAAAAAAGAUCAAAAUGUGUAGUCUAUGCGCGAAGACAAAAGAAAAAGAAGGGAGUCUGUCAGACAGCCAUGAGACCAUCUUAGUAUGCCCGAUGACAAAAGAAAAAGAAGGGAGUGUGUCAGACAGCCAUGAGACCAUCUUAGUAUGCCCGAAGAAAAAAGAAAAAAAAGGAAGUCUGUCAGACAGCCAUGAGACCAUCUUAGUAUGCCCGAAGAAAAAAGAAAAAGAAGAGAGUCUGUCAGACAGCCAUGAGACCAUCUUAGACCCGAGAUCUCCGGUCUAAGAACGAUCAUCUACUGCAUCCACAGCUCGAGGAGCUAUGGAAGGCUGUUAAUCACGCUCUAGUCACCAUUACUAUAACAACAAAAGAUUAAAGUAUCAUACCCCAACAAAAAAGAUCAAAAUGUGUAGUCUAUGCGCGAAGACAAAAGAAAAAGAAGGGAGUCUGUCAGACAGCCAUGAGACCAUCUUAGUAUGCCCGAAGAUAAAAGAAAAAGAAGGGAGUGUGUCAGACAGCCAUGAGACCAUCUUAGUAUGCCCGAAGAAAAAAGAAAAAGAAGAGAGUCUGUCAGACAGCCAUGAGACCAUCUUAGACCCGAGAUCUCAGGUCUAAGAACGAUCAUCUACUGCAUCCACAGCUCGAGGAGCUAUGGAAGGCUGUUAAUCACGCUCUAGUCACCAUUACUAUAACAACAAAAGAUUAAAGUAUCAUACCCCAACAAAAAAGAUCAAAAUGUGUAGUCUAUGCGCGAAGACAAAAGAAAAAGAAGGGAGUCUGUCAGACAGCCAUGAGACCAUCUUAGUAUGCCCGAAGAUAAAAGAAAAAGAAGGGAGUGUGUCAGACAGCCAUGAGACCAUCUUAGUAUGCCCGAAGAAAAAAAAAAAAGUCUGUCAGACAGCCAUGAGACCAUCUUAGACCCGAGAUCUCAGGUCUAAGAACGAUCAUCUACUGCAUCCACAGCUCGAGGAGCUAUGGAAGGCUGUUAAUCACGCUCUAGUCACCAUUACUAUAACAACAAAAGAUUAAAGUAUCAUACCCCAACAAAAAAGAUCAAAAUGUGUAGUCUAUGCGCGAAGACAAAAGAAAAAGAAGGGAGUGUGUCAGACAGCCAUGAGACCAUCUUAGUAUGCCCGAAGACAAAAGAAAAAGAAGGGAGUGUGUCAGACAGCCAUGAGACCAUCUUAGACCCGAGAUCUCCGGUCUAAGAACGAUCAUCUACUGCAUCCACAGCUCGAGGAGCUAUGGAAGGCUGUUAAUCACGCUCUAGUCACCAUUACUAUAACAACAAAAGAUUAAAGUAUCAUACCCCAACAAAAAAGAUCAAAAUGUGUAGUCUAUGCGCGAAGACAAAAGAAAAAGAAGGGAGUCUGUCAGACAGCCAUGAGACCAUCUUAGUAUGCCCGAAGACAAAAGAAAAAGAAGGGAGUGUGUCAGACAGCCAUAAGACCAUCUUAGUAUGCCCGAAGAAAAAAGAAAAAAAGGGAGUCUGUCAGACAGCCAUGAGACCAUCUUAGUAUGCCCGAAGACAAAAGAAAAAGAAGGGAGUCUAUGCGCGAAGACAAAAGAAAAAGAAGGGAGUGUGUCAGACAGCCAUGAGACCAUCUUAGUAUGCCCGAAGACAAAAGAAAAAGAAGGGAGUGUGUCAGACAGCCAUGAGACCAUCUUAGUAUGCCCGAAGAAAAAAAAAAAGUCUGUCAGACAGCCAUGAGACCAUCUUAGACCCGAGAUCUCAGGUCUAAGAACGAUCAUCUACUGCAUCCACAGCUCGAGGAGCUAUGGAAGGCUGUUAAUCACGCUCUAGUCACCAUUACUAUAACAACAAAAGAUUAAAGUAUCAUACCCCAACAAAAAAGAUCAAAAUGUGUAGUCUAUGCGCGAAGACAAAAGAAAAAGAAGGGAGUCUGUCAGACAGCCAUGAGACCAUCUUAGUAUGCCCGAAGACAAAAGAAAAAGAAGGGAGUGUGUCAGACAGCCAUAAGACCAUCUUAGUAUGCCCGAAGAAAAAAGAAAAAAAGGGAGUCUGUCAGACAGCCAUGAGACCAUCUUAGUAUGCCCGAAGACAAAAGAAAAAGAAGGGAGUCUAUGCGCGAAGACAAAAGAAAAAGAAGGGAGUGUGUCAGACAGCCAUGAGACCAUCUUAGUAUGCCCGAAGACAAAAGAAAAAGAAGGGAGUGUGUCAGACAGCCAUGAGACCAUCUUAGUAUGCCCGAAGAAAAAAAAAAAAAGUCUGUCAGACAGCCAUGAGACCAUCUUAGACCCGAGAUCUCAGGUCUAAGAACGAUCAUCUACUGCAUCCACAGCUCGAGGAGCUAUGGAAGGCUGUUAAUCACGCUCUAGUCACCAUUACUAUAACAACAAAAGAUUAAAGUAUCAUACCCCAACAAAAAAGAUCAAAAUGUGUAGUCUAUGCGCGAAGACAAAAGAAAAAGAAGGGAGUGUGUCAGACAGCCAUGAGACCAUCUUAGUAUGCCCGAAGACAAAAGAAAAAGAAGGGAGUGUGUCAGACAGCCAUGAGACCAUCUUAGACCCGAGAUCUCCGGUCUAAGAACGAUCAUCUACUGCAUCCACAGCUCGAGGAGCUAUGGAAGGCUGUUAAUCACGCUCUAGUCACCAUUACUAUAACAACAAAAGAUUAAAGUAUCAUACCCCAACAAAAAAGAUCAAAAUGUGUAGUCUAUGCGCGAAGACAAAAGAAAAAGAAGGGAGUCUGUCAGACAGCCAUGAGACCAUCUUAGUAUGCCCGAAGACAAAAGAAAAAGAAGGGAGUGUGUCAGUCAGCCAUAAGACCAUCUUAGUAUGCCCGAAGAAAAAAGAAAAAAAGGGAGUCUGUCAGACAGCCAUGAGACCAACUUAGACCCAAGAUCUCCAGGUCUAAGAACGAUCAUCUACGGCAUCCACAUCAAGGAGCUAUGGAAGGCUGUUAAUCACGCUCUAGUCACAUGGCCAUGCUUCAUCAACCAGACUUGGAUUCCUGUCUUCUUAGAAUUUAAGAAUACGGUGGUACGAGCCUAUAGAACAGAUCCUGUUCAAGUAAGGUCGUGACAUAGGCUGUUGGAAUGGAGAAUAUAAUGCUGUAGCUUUUGUGUUCCGCUUCCGAUGUGGGAGUAGUAUAUCGGCCCGUCUCGCAGUCAACUGAAAUACAAAUUAAUAAAUAGACCUUACUCUUUUUUUUAAUUAUUGUUUUAUAGAAAAAAUAAUUAAGUACUAAUAAUUUUAUUGUAAGGUCAUCAAUCUUGUAAAAAUUAUCAUUCCUAAAACUCUCUGUUCUCUAAAGAAUCAUAAAUCAGUUAUUAUAGAUGAACUUGUGUUCACCAUAUGCAAUAUUAUAUAAAAUAAGAUUAUAUAUGACAAGGCUCGUGAGAUGGGUUGGGUUGGCAACAAAAGAGAUAAACAAAGAGAAUAUAUUUGUCGAUUUCAAAAGCUAUAAGAAAAGUUAAAUAUUAUCGACUCAUCUACGUCUCAUAUUAACAGAGGAGAAAACUUUAAUUUUACAGAUAGUUAUAUUGAAAUGGUAUUGCAAAAAUUUUGUUUAACCGUUCGGGCGAUAUAUGGGUGGCAAAAUUAAGUCCAAACCCACCCAACUUUACUCAAUCCAUUAAGGUUUGGGUUGGUUAUUAACUCUACAAUCUCAAUCCGACCCAUUAAAAAUUGAAUUGAUAUUUCAUCCAAAUUAUUUUUUGAGAAAUCUUAUCAAAAUAUUGUUAAAAAACUAUUUUUUGAUUUAUAUGUUAUAUAUAGUUAUAAUAAUGAAAAGAAUAAUUUUAUUUGAUACUAAAAGCUUGCAAAAUAACAAAUAAAGUUAUUCAAUUUAGUAAAAAUUGGGAUUUGAUUAUUGACCCGUUACUAAUUCGUUCUGAUCCAAUCCAUUUUGGCCCAAACAAAUUUAAUUGGAUUGAAUCUUAACCCAUUUUGAUCCAUUCAAAUUUAACAGAUGGAGUCCAAUUACCACCCUUACGGAGAUAUAAGUUAAAUGUUAAACCAACCAUAUAAUUUUAUGUUAGUAUUGUGCUCUCCAGAUGUGCUUGUUUCACCCUUUUUUUCUUAACUUAGACAAGAUUUUUUUUAAAACAACUCUGACCAAAAGAAAGAAAAAAGAGAAUAGCUCAAAUGGCGCGAUCUAAAUCUCAAUGUUAUUAAAAAUAGGCAUGAUAUUGGUCAAAUUUUUGUCUUUUUAACUCUAAAAAAAGUUAUGACAAUUAAAAAUAAAAGAAAAAAUUAUUAUAUAGUUCCAUAAUAAAAUCAUUUUAAUGAUUUAAAAUGUAUUUAUUGGUCUAUUCAUGUAAAAUCGUCUAAUAUAUGAAGUGCAAGUAUACAUUCCCCAAUUUUUUAAGCUUCCUUUCUGUUCACUAAAUUGUCUAUGGGGGGUUCAUUCACACACAAACAUCCAAAUAAAGCCAAAAAAAGAGUUACGUAUUCGAUUUGUUUUUAAGCAAAAUAAAACAAAUACGUGCAUUUUAAUGGUUGAUUAUUAUAUAUUUUAUUUUAGUAAGAAAAUUUAAUAUAUUUAAAUUUUAAUUGAAUUGCUAUAAUUAUUUUAAAUUUUGAGCAGGAUUUAUUAUCCUUGUAUUAUUUACUAGUGGGCAUAGUAUAUAUAUUGAAUUCUAAGAUUAGCUUCAAAUUUUAAUUUGACCUUCAACUUUUAUAGUGCACAAACAAAUACUUUAACUAUUCGACUUUUAAAUAAAUAACCAUGGGAUUUUUGGAGCCAGAGAGAGUGAAAUGUAAACGCUCUCACGUGUAUUAGUGAGUCACUCAAUAACUGUCAACUAAUUAAAUAUUUUACACGUCCAUCUUAGAAUUAAAAAUAAAUAAAUUAAAAUGAGAUUUUGAUUUGGAAAUAUAAAAAUAUAUAUAUAAGGGAUUCAUUAAGGGUAGAGUUGUCAUUUCAACAUUUUUUUACUGUUGUGGGCUUCAAAAAUUACUCCUAACUCGCGCGAAAUACGUGCACAUCACGCGUUUUGUCAGGUAGAAUUCGUGUGCUUAUUUAUUAAAAGGUUGGAUAGUUAAAGUCCAUAUUUGUGCACUAUAAAAGUUGGAGAUUGAAAUUAAAAUUUAAAACUAAUUUUAGUAUUUAAUAUAUGUAUUUUAUCUUUAGUGCAUUCGAGAUUGUUAUAACAUUUUUUAGCUCUAAAAAUUUCAAACAUAUUUACGACAUUUUUUCCCUAAUACUUUUGUCCAUCAACACUCCUUUAAAGAUAUCUUUUAUUUGAAUAAGACGCAAGAAUCUUUGAUAUUAUGGUAAAAUUAUGUAUAUGAAUUAUCAUAGAUUUUACCAAACAAACUUCAUAAAUAAUAUUUGAAACUCUAAAUUCUACUAUUGGUACUUCAUAUAUCUAUUUAAUUCUUCCUUGAUUUAAAAAACUAACUUAAAUCAAUUUAAAAGUAAUAGUUUACUUCUUUUCUUGAUAAUAUUAUUAUAUCAAUUUUCUAAUUGAUAUGACUGAUAUGUUUAAGGCUAAAAAAGGAUAAAAUUUAUUUGGGGGUUUACAUUAAAAUCAGAUCAAUAUAUGCAUAUUAUUUUUUAAAUUAGUAGUUUAUUUUACUUUAUUAGAUCACGUUAUAAUACAUUUUGUAUUGAUUUGAUGUAAACACUCAAUGUAUAUAAUUUUUUUUCGCUAGAAAAUUAAAGAGCAUUCUAAUAUAUUCGCUAUAAUUUAAAUUUAAAAUCAUAAAAUUGAUUAUUUUUUUAAAAUUCUGUGUUAAAUAAAAUGAAAUUAUUAUUUUUGAAACGGAAAAGGGUCAAAAUUGUCACUGAACUACCCUCCAUUAAAUUUUGGGAUCAAAAACACCCCAUGUUAUCCUAGGAGACCAUAAAUACCCUCAAGAGUUAACAUCCCAACUUUUUAGGGGUCGUUUGGUAUAAAAAAAUAAAAUAACGCGUGAAUUAGUAAUGCAGUGAUUAGUAAUGCAUGGAUUAGUAGUGCAGGGGUUAGUAAUGCAUGGUUUAUUUUUAUUUAGUGUUUGGUUCAUUGUUUCCAAUCCCAAUUUGUAUUUGAAAUUAAAUUCUUUAAAAAUCUCUUUUUCAAUUGUACCCUUAUAAUAUUAUGUAAGUGGGUCAAGGUAGAUAGUUAUCGGAAAAUAUUUCUUUUAUGACAUUCUAACUAGCUAUGAGAAGAAUAAUUUUGUUGUCAUGUUUUUAAUUUUCUACUUGAAUUAUUUGAGGAUAAAUAGCUUUCAUCUUAAUAAAUUGAUCACUAAUAAAAUGUUAAUUUUAAAUUUUAAAAAGAUAAACCAACUACUUUUAAAAUUAUAAAAGACGGUCAAUAAUUGGAAAAUUGAAUAAACCAUGUACAUUCACACAUAAAAAUUUUGCAAGUUAUAAUUUUAAAAUGUAUGUAAUUUUUUUAAAUAGUUCAAAAUACGAAUAAUUAGUGAUAUAUUUGUCUUUUAAUUAGUAAAUGUUAAAUAACUCACUUAUUAAAUUUGUAUUGAUUUGAAUUAGGUAUAUUUAGUUACAAAUAAGUCUCUCUAAAUAAUUUGUAAACUAAUUUAUUUAAAUAAUUUUAUUAGUACAAAUAUAAAACAUAAAAUUAAGAAAUUAAAAUAAAAAUUAAAAUGAUUUGAGGGAUAUUUUUUUCUUUAUGUGCUUAUCCCAUGGUAUUAUAUCCUAUGUAUUACUAAUACCUCCAAAUGGAAGGUAUUAGUAAAACAUCACAUAAUAUCAUGUAGGAUGUAUUAACUAAUCCAUGGAUUAGUUAUACAUAGGCUUACAUUCUCACCAAACACAGUAUUAAAUUAUACCACAUCUAAUACAUGGAUUAUUUCUUUUAAUACAGCCUACCAAACGCCCCCUUAGUGACAUGCCAUGCCAUGUGAGACUUAUCCCUCCAUCUAAAGGUUAUGAGUGACUUUUUGUGACGAUAAAAUCUAUUUUUUCAACAAAAAAAUAUGAUAAUUUAUUUUCGAUUGCAACCUAAUUUUCUAAAAUAAAUAACUUACAAUAUUAAUAUUAAAAACACCCAAUAUUAUUACGAAAAAUCAUGAAAUUCUUUCUCGAUUCAUAUCUCCUACUAGAUAAUGUAUCAUUGUACAUUUUAUAGAUUAACAUAUAACAUAAAAAUAAAACAUGCAAUGUCUUCAAAUUUCUACUUAAUCAAUAUCAUUUUUGUUUUUUUUUUUAAAUAAUAAAGAAAAAAACACAAAUCAAAAUUUAAUGUUAAAAACUUUUAGUGACAAUUUUUUGAGUUUUUGUGGCAACUAUUUUCGCCACUAAAAGUGUAGUUCUUUUGUAAUGAAUCCUAGUUGGCAAUGUUUAAGUGGAAGGAAUAGUCCACAUAGCUUUCCUAGUCAAUAAAAAUAUGAGGUGUUAACUCUUAAGGGUAUAUAUGGUCUCUUAGGUUAAUAGUAAGAGCAUUUCUGAUUUCAAAAUGUAACGAAGGGUAUAAGUUGUCUAUGUCACAUAGUUCAAAGACAAUUUUGAUCUUUUUUCGUUUUUGAAAAGAAGAAUAUCAAAUUACCAGCAGGCCCUUUCUUCUUCCACCAGGUGGUAUAUGCUGAGCCUAACACCUCAUCGACUCAGUCACUCGUCACACCUUAAGUGGACCCACCUUUAAUUUCCCAAAACGCCCUCGUCAGUCGUCGCGUUUUCCUCCCCCUAUAUAUAAGCUUUUCCCUCGGUCCCAAUUCAAAACCCUCGAAAUUUCAGAUUUCUCUAGAAGCUUCUUUUCAUUCUUCCGACCACAAUUUCCGAUUUCAAUUGCUCUUUUCGCACGAGCAUGAGUCAGUCUACACAAAUCGUCAAAUUCCUCUACAGUUACGGCGGUAGAAUCCUUCCUCGUCCCUCCGACGGCACACUCCGUUACAUCGGCGGUUUUACUAGAGUCCUUUCCGUUGAUAGAUCUAUUUCAUUUGCAGGUUUGUUUAUACAUUCAUCACUUCGAUUUUGUUUAGUUAGAAACUGAUUGAAAUUUGACUGAUGCAGAGUUGAUGGUGAAGUUUGGAGAAUUGUAUGGAUCGUCUAUGCGUUUAAAAUGUAAGAUGCCGACAGAGGAUUUGGAUGUUUUGGUAUCGAUUACCUGUGACGAAGACCUGGCUAAUGUGAUUGAAGAGUACGAUCGAGUUUCAGCAAUGACGAAUACAGAGAUGAAGAUUAGGGCGUUAUUAUCUCCAAUAAAUUUGCCGAAAAAGGACUCUCGUCCGUCUUCGCCAAUGUCUUGCUUUGAUUUUGCUGCGUCGAGCUUGAAGCCCGGAAAAUUCGUCCAGUUCAAUUCGCCUCCGUCGUAUGCGGCGGCGCGUAGACUGUUCUCACCAGUUGUGGGUUACCCGACCGGGAGACGAACAGACGGCGAGGAGCUUUACUAUCCGUACUGUGGACAGGCAGGCGUCAAGCCUCUGUAUAACGUUGUUCCUAUCCAUUGCCAAUAGAAAAAAGAUACCCGAGAGGUAGAGGUAGUUACAGUAUUGCCGGAGAGUUGUUUACAUAGAUGAAACGAAUCUCCUUCCCACCCACAAAAAAGGGUCAGAUAAACAAAAUAUUCAUCAUCACAUCAAAUAACAAAAAGACUCAUUCAAUAUAAUAUUUUGAUGCUUGAUUCAAAUUGUAUAUUGCUUGAGAUUAUUGCUUAUUCAAUUGUGAGCUCGAUUUAGGAUUCGAGCUGAUAUAUUGUUAUCUAAAUUCUAUGAUUGGCGUUUUGUUGCUCUGGGUUGUCUAUAUGGCACAAUCCCUCCAUCGUUGAGCUUUACCCAUGGUGAGCAAGUGGUAAGAUCUGAGUACAUCUAUUAUAGUUAUUCACUUGUUCUUGUUUUCUUGAGUGUUAAAACUUAGAACGAAGGGUGAAGAUAUAUACUUCAUUUAUGUGAGGGCUUGAAAUAGAUUAUGGGGUUGUAAUCCAUAUUAUAAAUAUAUCUUCACCUCUCAUUAGAUGAUUUGAAUGCACGUUUUAUGUAUGAAAUUUAUUUUGUCGAGAAAUCAUCUUUCGAUGCAUAUUUUAGGGUAUAAAUUGAUUUAAUUAAAUUUCAAUAUGAAUAACGAUAGUGAAAAACAAAAAAAUAAACGGGAUUUUGAAAAUCAAGAAUUCAUGAGCCAUUUGUUUUUAUUGGGACAAAUUUGGUUUAUAAGUGCUAUAAAUUAUUUGUUUUUGAUUUAUAUGGCAUAUCUUGAUUUAAAAACAAGCUUUAAGAAGUGAUAUUUUUUAUAAUUAUGAUAUUAAUAUAAUUACAAAAGCAUGUGAUGGGAUAUAUUAUGAAAAAUUUGCAACUAUCAUUUACACGAAGAUGCAUGUCUGCUUAUUUUCUAAGUAGUCCGCAGUGAGUAUAGUAUAUACUAAUGACUUGAUGGAGUGGCUGUGUUACGAUACAUAGAACCUUGGGAAUAUAAAUAACGUAUGGAGAGGAUGAAUCUAACAAAAUGACAAAGUGAAUUUUAUUUCACCGCAAUUCAAGUGUUAAAAGUGUGGGUUUUUCUUUUUGGGGGAAAGAGAGGGAUACACAUGCUUCUUAAUUAUUUCAUAUUUUCAAUCAAUCAAAUUUACCCAUCCUUUGUGUUUUUUACUCACUUUACCAACUCUUGAUAUAAAAUAAGAAAAAAAAAUUAGUUAAGCUAAUUUAAUUUUAAAAAUUAAUUAAAUUAAUAUUGAAGAAAUGAAUUCUUUUUUGACUAAUAACUUUAUAAGAUAGAAAAAAUUGUUAAGUCGCACGUCCAUGAAUAAAAUAAUUAUAUUUUUUAUAUGGAUUUAAUCAAUCUUCUUAUUACCAGAAUUUUGAGGUGAACGUGAGAUGAAGUGUUACGAUGAACAUACACAAUACUUUUAUUACAAAUUAAUUUUUAGAUUGAAUUUGACUUAACGAUUAAUUUUUUACAAACAUAAAUUAUAAACUUACACAAUGUUUUCAUAUGAAUUAAUUUUUAGAUUGAGUUUGACUUACUAAUUCAUUUCUUUUACGAACAUCAUCAAUAGUAAAUAGUAAAAAAGUAAGUAAUUAGCCAACCCAGCCAUGUGCAGCCACAUGCCCUACGCUUCCCUAAUUCCACAAACUCCACAUCUUUCAUGAUUAAAUUCAGUAAAUACAGCCAUACACAGCUUCACUCUUCUUCUUCUUCUUCAAAAAAAAAAAUCAAACAUUUUCAUAAUCUCUCCAUCAAAUUAAGUCAAAUCUCAAGUAAAACAAAAGAUGAAGGUCACAAUAACCACAAAAUCUUUCUUAAUUUUGAUCCUAAUAUUGAUAUCUUUCUUAGAUUCAAUUCCAUUUCUUGUUAUUAGCACUGUCGUUCUAGUGGGAACAACAGUACUAAUUGUUCUAGCAGUACGAACCACCAUAAUAACAUGGAUUAUGGUGCUCGUACUGCUAGCAUUCACUCGUAAACGCCGUAGGGGCGUAGUGAAGGAUGGUAAGUCGAUCACGUCUGAGGUGGCAAUGUAUGCGGCCAACGUUGUGUUUAAAGAGAGGGGAUUAUUUGCUAUCACCGGUACUGCUAUCAUUCUCGGUUUCACUUCUAUGGCAUUAUAUUGUUAACAACAAUUAUUAAAUCUUCGUUUCAUUUUAAGAGACACUUUUAUCUUAGUUUAUCUUUCAAAAAAAAAAGUGAUUGAAAUAUCACAGUUGCUGUAAAAUCUAACAUCCACAAUUUGUAAAUAUUUGGAUACAAUGAGUACUCACUUUCAACACAUUUUGAACUUAAAAAGCACAAAAUUUUAUGGUUCAUUUUUGUCAUUUUCUCCACGAAAAUAUUAAUGUCGUAUUUUGUAUUUAAAUUUCAUGUUUAAAUAUAUAUGAUCAUCGUAUAAAAUGAGACGAAGAAAGCAUAUAUCAACGCUUUUAUUGUUUUCUCUUUUGGUCCUGGCUGACUGCACGCAGUGGCAUGGUAUGGUUUAUAUUAAUCCUACGUCUUGUGCGGUGAAAUUAUUUUAUUUUUAAUUUAAAUUUAAAUUCGAACUUUAUAUAUAAAGUAAGUUUUAUUUGAAGUACGAUCCCAAAAUAAACCAAACAGUGUACUAUAUAAAUUUAGUCUGGCUUUACUAUGAAAUUCGAACUGUAAAUUUGAUAUUUUUCAGUUCUCUUUUUUUGCUAAUGAAGUAAACUGGACUGUAAAUUUAAAUAUAUGACAUAUAUGUAUUGACUUGACGUAAACCGUACGAAUAAUUAUUAUCAAUAUAUUUCCUUACUCGUCUCAUUUCUCACUUUAUGAACCUCUUUUUUCCUUUUUAUUAUAGUAGCUAAAACUCGAAGUACAUUAUUAAUUUAUUAUACUAAUAAAUUAUAGUUUAAAAAAUUAAAUUUAUAUGUCUAAUUUUAACUUGAUAAAAUGUUUAAGAAAUUAGAGUAAUUUUUUGAAUUAUUGAAUUUUAAACAUGCUAGGUUGAAAAUUAAUUUUAAAAUAGAAUAUUAUAUAAAAAAUAUUAAUAUCUUUUAACUGGCUAAAAAGAAAAUAAGUGAAAUAAAUUGAAGUAUUAUAUAGAGUAUUAAAUAAGGCUAUUAAAUAACAAUAGUUGAGUGUAAGAGGAUUAAGCAAAAGUAUAGGUUACUCCUCUCGUUUCAAAUGAUCUAUUGUGAAUUUCAUAAUUAGUUGUCCCAGAAUAAAAACUCUUGAAUAUAGUAAAUAUAUUUGAUAUUUGAUAGAUAUAGAUUAUAUUUUAAGACAAAAAUGAGGUCGAAUAGUUUUUAUAUUUUAUUUUAUAUUUUUUGAAAAAGAAAUGCACAAAAAAGAACACAAUAAAUAAUUUGAGAAUAUAGCAGUAUGCAUUUAAAAUAAGUUGAUGCCAUAAAAUAUUUAAAAUAAGGUGGUAUUUUUAAAUUUUGAAUAAUGAAAUUUAAAUAAAAUUCUUUUAUCAUAAUUUUUAAAUAUAUUUUAAAUUACCAAUUAUUUUGAGUGUAACCUAAUAUGAGUUUAGUGCAAAACUGCAAAUAGUAGAUGGAGUAUUUUUUGUGGGAAAAUGUUAGCAUUAUAAUGUUUGUCUUUGAGAAAAAACUUACCUCGAAUUAUAACUUGAUACCCAAAGACAUUUAAAUUAAGGUGGUAUCUUUUGAAUUUCAAAUUAUGAAAUUUAAAUAAGAUUCUUUUAUCAUAAUUUUCAAUAAAUUUUGAAUUACAAAUUAUUGUGAGUGUAACUUAUAAUAUUCUUAUAAAAUUUUUAUAUAUGUAAAUUUUAUUUUAAAAUACUUCAAGAUUACAUAUUUAAUUUUUUUUUAAUAAAUUAAAUUAUUGACUUUUAACGUUAGAACUAUACCAUACUAAUUAUGAUAGAAAUUAAAUAUCUUUUUGAUAUUUUAAAUUUACUAAUUCGAUGGACUAACUAAGAAAAAGAAAAAGAAAAGAUGGAAUAUAUCUCUACAUUUGCUUUAAAGAAAAUCAUAAAAGACCGUUUCAACUUUGUAUUUUUGUAGUGUCAAAUUAGCAAUAUACUAUUAAAUAAUUUUAUUAGUUAGCAAAAUUAUUUAACAUACAAAUUAACAUAAAGUUUAUAGUUAAUUUCAAUUGUUUCUAAGGUGGCCAUUGAGGGUUAUUAGCAACAAGAACUGUUAAUUAAUAUAAAGUAAUAUACUUAGUUAUAUCUUUUUCACCUUUCAACAUAUUUUAUUUUCAUUCCCACUUUUGUUGCACCCUCACCUAAUAAUAUUUGUUUAGAAAAUUUAUAUAUAAAUAAAAUAAUUUUUUACUUAUACACAAAAUAUAUGUAUAGUUUAUUUUCUUGAAAAACUAUUUCGUAUCUCACCCAAAAAAUGACUUUUUGGUUUCCUUAGGCCUGUAGUUUUCUUCAAAACCAAAAAAUAAAAUAAAUUAAAAUAGAGCCCACAAUAUUUUAUUUUUAUUUUUAUAUAUAUGCCGAAUUAUACAAUAAAAAUAAUAAAAUGCGAUAUACAUGACAACCGAAUAGACACCCUUCGCUUAAGGAGUCUCUUCCUCUACUGCUAUUUCAUCGCUAAAUUUUUCUCUACAAAUUCUAUUUCUAGGGUUAGGGUUUUCAAAUUCUUAGCAAAUUCAUAGUACAAUCGCUACUGUUUUUUGUGCUUUACCUGGAACGCUACCCUCAUGGAAUCUUCUAUUGUGAUCAAGGUUUGAUCUUUUACUCUUUCAAAAAAAGUCUGUUUUUUUUUGGUUUUGUUCAAUUGGAUUGCAUGUUGUUUUUCUACUUUGAAAUGUUGAAUAAUAUCGUGGUUUGAGGGAUUUUGUUGUUUCUGUACUCUGAGAUACGAUCAAAUUGUGAAAUAAAUUCGUAAGGAUAGCACCGACCACGUAUCUAGCUAGCUUUGUUAAUCAUCAUGCAUGUAAGAAUUGGGUGUUUUUUUCCCUUUGCUUAAUCUGUGUUGAGAUGUGGUAAUACCAAAAUCAAGCAAAUGUUGGACCGUAAAGAUGUUUGCUUUACUGUAAGAUGUACAAUAACAGAGUUUGCAAUGUGAUGAUGCUUCCUAGUGUUUUGGUUUUUCGAAUUUAUUUCCCUUCGUUUGAUGGAUUUUCUUGUUUUCGUACUCUUGAGAUAUGAUUGAAUUGCGAAAUAAAUUUGUAAGGAUAGCACUGACCACAUAUCUAGCUAGCUUUGUUAAUCAUCAUGAUUGUAAGAAUUGGGUGUUUGUUUUUCAUUUUUGCUUAGUUGGUGUUGUUAUGUGGUAAUAACAAAAUCAAGCAAAUGUUUUACACUGUAAAGAUGUUGUCAUUACUGCAAGAUGUACAAUAGCAGAGUUCCGAUGCGAUCUAAUUUAAACUAUAGAUGCUUCCUAGUUCUGGUUUGUGGAUUUUUUUCCCGUAUAUUUGAAAAUAAUGUAUGUUUUUAUGUUCCAGUGAUAUGUUUUUUUAAAGAGUGUUUUGUGGAAUUCCACUUUUAGAAUUUGUUUGCCCUUAACGGGAAGUUGUUUUCCUCAUGUCUAAGCAACUUAAUUUUUCUUCAUACUGAACAUACCCUAGGAGUACGGGAUUUGUGAGCUGAUUGGGGCAUACUUGAUUACUUGAUUGUUAUAAUUGCUCUGAUGUUUUCUCUCACCAGAUAAUCUUAACUUUCUUAUGAUCCUUGUUUGCAACAUGUGCUAUCUGCUAUGCAAUCUUGUCAAUAUGCAGUUUUCUGUUUCCAUGAUAACAUAAACUCAUGGACUCUUGAAAAGAAUUAUCUGUUGAGCCAGUAAAGGUUCCGUUUCUUAUUUUGGUUAGUUUUCUUAUGACCAUGGAUAUAUGUUGGGACUAACUUAUGUACCCUCUGAUGGAUGAUUUUGUCUGUAUUUAUGGGAUGUCUGCUUCCACUGUAUACUGUGUAGGUCAAGUAUGGAGAGACACUUAGACGAUUCAAUGCCCGUGUUGCUGAUGAUAAACUUGGUCUUAACAUAGAUGGAUUAAAAGACAAGAUCUUUAAACUUUUCAACUUUCCUCCCGACAGUGAACUUACACUGACAUACAUUGAUGAGGAUGGUGAUGUUGUAACACUUGUUGAUGACGAUGAUCUGCAGGAUAUCACGAGGCAGGACCUGGAUCCCCUGCGAAUAUCUGUGACAUUAAACUCUGAAAAACUUAGUAUAUCUUCAGGUACAUCAAGUGGAAAUUCUACUUCCGUCAGGGCCCCACCUACAUUUCCGAACAUAAAUUCGAGUGUUUCGGAUCUUCUCAAGUCAUUGCCAAAGUCAAAAAGCAAAAAAAUCCUAAAGCACUCUGCAGAUAUGGCGUCUAAAGCCUCAUCAGCUGCCCGAGAAAUUGCUGAGCUUUCCAAAGCUCUCUCUGUGACUAGCUUAUCCUACUUAAAGCAGGCUUGUCCAGUAUCGGGAGUCCCUAUGGGUAGUGUUAAAAGUGGAGAGCCAUCUCAAGCAGCGAAUCCUGAGGAGCUGACCGUUAAAACUGCAGGACGACCCAAAAGUCAUACUGUAUCCAUAAAUGCAUCAGAAUUGAAAUCCUCCCAACCAGAUCAAAACGGAAUUCAGUGUGAACCAUUAUCAAAAAGUCCUAAGCGUAACUCAUCUCUGGUAGACGGUAAGAAGGAAGAGGGUAACAAAUUUGGUGAUUCCCAUCUUGUUGGGAAGGCUCUUGGUAAUUCAGAUCCUAGUGCCUCAACCACUGGCCCAAAAAAGACAGCUGAUAAACAGCAAACUGAGAAUCACCCUGGUGCUGAGCCUGUUGGUGUUGUUGGUUUAUCUGGGAAGCUUUCUGGUGGUUUUAGAUCCCCAAUUUCAUAUUGGAUGCCUAUGGUGCCCGUGUCAAAUGACACUAUCCAACCUCAAUACUCUACUUUCCGGAUCCCAGUUAAAAGGAGCCAUAAUCACAGUGAUGGGACUGGCUCUAUUUUCCACAGAGGCGUUCGCUGUGAUGGUUGUGGGGUUCAUCCAAUAACUGGACCUAGGUUCAAAUCUAAAGUGUAAGAAACGUGAACCUUUUGUAUAAUUGGUAUUUGACUAAUCAAUGUUAAGGACUGAUCCUCAUAUUCUCAUGCAGAAAGGAGGACUAUGAUCUCUGCAGCAUAUGCUUUGCACAAAUGGGAAUUGAUGCUGAUUACGUCAGAAUGGAUCGUCCUGUUUCUUACCAUCAUCCCAUAGCUUUCAAGGCUUUACAUGAACCUGUAUAAGGAGUUAACUUUUUUCUUUCAAUUUUCUGCAAGUACUCUCUGUGUUGAUAAACUCUUGUCAACUUGUUGUGUAUGUAGCAUGACAUCUUUCGAGGCUGCGGUGUAAAAUCGCCUAAGCUGGACAGCCGCUUCAAACAUGAUGUCAAUGUACUUGAUGGUACUAUGAUGGCUCCAUCGACUCCAUUUACCAAGGUCUGGAGGAUGAGGAACAAUGGUAAUAUUUUCUGGCCACAAGGAACACAACUUGUUUGGAUUGGGGGAGAUCGAUUAGGUGAUGCUGUUUCUGUUGAAUUACAGGUCAGAGUUAUGGGCAUGUACUUUUUUUUUUUUGCUGAACAUCCAUGCCUACAGUCCUGUGAUGUGAUGAUACAUCGUCCCUAUCUGCAGAUUCCUUCGUUUGGCUUGGCUGUAGACCAUGAAUUUGAUGUGGCAGUUGAUUUUAGAGCUCCUAAGCUUCCUGGCAGGUACAUCUCCUUCUGGAGGAUGGCCUUGCCUUCAGGGGAGAAGUUUGGGCAGCGUGUAUGGGUGCUUAUCCAGGUCAGGAUUGUUCGCAUGCAAAAUUAUUUCUCGUCUUGAUAAUAAGAGGUAGCUUCGAUGCUGAUUUGAAUAUUUGUAACUCAUUUUUUCAGGUUGAUUUUUCAAUGAUCCCGAAAAAGGAGUUCUCUUAUGAAGCCUCUCAGGUCCUGGACUUGAAUCUUCCUCCAGCCGGCUAUGAUAUAGCUGGUUCUGAAUAUAUUAAUGUGAAUGCAGACAUGACAAUAGAGGAUAUCAUUGCUGACCCUAAAAUUUCAAACCCUGCCACUGGAUCAGUUGAGCCGGUGGUUGAUGGAAACCGUAACAAUGAGGAGUUCAAGUCGUGCAUUUCUCCUUCUGCAGCUGGUUCGUCAAUUUCAUACCCCAUUGAUUUAUCCGAGGCAGCACCAGAAGUUACUUCUGUUGCACCACCAUCUGUUGUAGAGGUGCAAGCAUCUCCACAGGAAGAUGUCGAGAUGUCCCUCCUCAAGGAACUGGAUGACAUGGGUUUCACUCAGGUUAACUUAAACAAAGAAGUCUUGAGGAUGAACGAGUAUAACCUGGAACAAUCAGUAGCUGAUCUUUGUGGUGUUUCUGAGUGGGAUCCUAUCCUUGAAGAGCUGGAGGAGAUGGUAGGUUGUUACUGUUGUGGUCAUUAAAAUUAGUGUAGUUAGUGUUUGACAUUUAUACCUUCCUUUUCUGCAUGUUGAGCAAAACAAUAACUUCUAGCUUUUGACCAUUUUAUAUUUCGUCUCUGCAGGGUUUCCACAACAAAGAGAUUAACAAGACGUUGCUCAAGAAGAACAAUGGCAGCAUUAAGCGUGUUGUGAUGGAUCUUAUUGCCGGAGAGAAUUAGAAUCUAGUUAUCAGUAUUUCUUGCAAUAUAUUAUGCUUUCAGUAGAUUAUGCUAUCUAUAACUUGCUAGACUGAGUUUGAUGUUUUGGUGACUGUGUCUUAUGUGGUUUUGCACAAUUGAUAGAUGCACUGUAACUUGGAUGUUUUGUUGACUUUGUGUCCUUGUGUGGUUUUGCACAAUUGAUAGAUGCACUGAAACUUCUUUAAGUGUCAUACUGAGCUUGCAGUGUUUUAUGAUAACGAUGGCUCCCAAAGUUUUUGCAUGCACCCAAAUUUUCUAGGUACUGUGAUGCACCUUUCUCAUAGCUUCAAGCUCUUGAAUCUUAAUGGUUCUGAUUGUGAGUGUCGAAUUCAAUUUUGAUUCUUUGGUUUGCACUGUUUUGAUCCCUUUUAUUACUAGUUAGUUGGAUUAUUUUGAGUUGAAUCCGUUAAAUCACGUUAUAAACAGUAUACACAGUAAAGCAAAUACUGUAACAAUAUUAACUUCUUUUGGCACCAUAUUAUUAAGUUGCUCUAAAGAAUCAACCCACAAAGCAACUUGCAAGAAAGAAUAUUAAUAGGUUAUCAAUUAAGGUUGUCACAAAUUACUUCUUCAUUCUUAAUAGAUGAGAUGUUUCGUUCGAGUCUUUCUGGGCAUGAGUCACCUUUUUUGUUACUUCCAACUAUGUCAUCUCCAAUGAAGUUCGGGUCACUUUGGAUAUAGAGUUCGUUUAGUUAAGGAGCGCUUGACUCGAUGUGAAUUCAGCAUUUUAUCUCACAUUAAUCUGAGAUUUUUUGACGUGAAUUCAAAGUUAAGUCGAACUUUAAUAUGAAUAUCGAACAUCAGGUGAAAAGCUAAAAAAAUCUAAAAAAAUGAAAUAUAUCAAGGCUAAAAAAGUUUGUUAGGUUAAUGAAUAAAUUGCUAGAUAAUCUAACCAAGUCGAACUCCAUUAAAAAAUAUCUGACAUCGGGUAAAAAAUUAAAAAAAAUUGAAUUUAAUCCAGCUCAAAUAUGAAUAUCAGGGCCAAAAAAGUUUGUUAGGUUGAUGAAUAAAUUGCUAGAUAAUCUGACCAGCUUUUCCUAUUUUAUAGAUUAGGAAAAUCUAACCACAUAGAAAUAAUUAAAUACUUGACUUAAUUGGAGAGGAAAGUGUCAUUGGUGAAGAAAUUUGUCAGUGAAAAGAAGCCAGUCUAUUUUACCAUUUGUAAAGGGGUCACAUGUCAAUAGCUCUAUUAUUCUGCUUUUGUGCGUAAGAAAAGCUUUCCACAAUAUUUUUUUAACAAAAAAAACAAAUAUACUCUCAAACUAUUAUAAAUGAUACAUAGGUAUAUUUUGUCAUACUUUUGAAAUGUUGGUACUUCUGUCGUUUAAAAAUUAGAACGUAUGUGUCCUUCACUCUAACAUAAGACUAAGUAGGGACACGUGACACAAUCUCAUCCAUCGACAUGGAUAAGAUUAUGACACGUGUAUUUCCGUUAGUAUAAAAGGUAUAAAUAUUUUAAUUUUUAAAUUGCAGGAAUACCAAUAUUCCAAAAAUAUGACGAAGGAUAUUUGCAAAAUAUUUAUGAUAAUUUGAGAGUAUAUUUAUCUUUUUCCCCUUUUUUUUAUACUACUAUAAAUAAAACUUUCUACCCACUAAAAUACAAAUGAGUACAACACAACAUCCCAUCAGACUUGAAUAAAGUAUCGAUACUAUUUUUUUCCUAAAGAAUAUGUUACUUAUAAAAAUUCAAAACAAGUUUAAUUUUUAUUCGUGAUCAAAUAUAACUUUAAUUUUUUUUUAAAAUCCUGUACUUUACUUUUUGAAAAUAAAAUAAUUUUUUAAAUAUUUCAUUAUAAAACAUGAUCAAACGUCCGGUUUACGUAGAAGCUAGAAUGAAACAUCAUCAGCAAGCACUCACUACUUUCUUUGAUCCUCUUGUUAUAAAAACCUCACUCUCACUAUUUUGUUUUCAUAGGUUUAUGUAUUUACUCAAAAUAAAGAAAACCAAAUUUUUCUUUCUUUGUCCAAAAAUAAUAAUUAGAAGAUGGAUGUGGAAUUUUGGACUACAAGAGAAAACUCAGCCAAUAAUCUUUCUACCUUUCAAUGUACCAAUUUAAGCAAUUCUGGUAAAUAUCAAUUGCAGCACAUGCAUUUGUCUAGUCUAACUUUUCUAGCACUGUUUCUGCUUCUUUUUCUUCAUCUUUUUUUUUUAUAUAUAUAAAUUAAAUAUAAAUUUUAUGGUAGGCAAUUUAGGUCUCUGUCUCAGGGGAGUUUUAAAUGGUGAAUGAAGCUUUUGUUUUUGACAUAGAUAUUGAUAAUUUUGGCCAUGGCUUUUCCACUAAUUGGUAAUUUUAUCUACUCUAGUUCCUCCCUUUUUUUAGGCUAUGUUGGUCGGAUUUUUCAAAAAUGUUGUUUCACUCGUGUUAGAUUCUUAAAAAAUGCAUCACUUUUGGACGGAUCCGAUACUCACUUGAAUAUAUUUUUGAAGAGUUUGAGCAACAUAGUUCUCGAGUUUUGGAGUUUCAUCUUCAUUUUCUAUUAUAUUUUAAUUGUUUACUUUCUUGGAUGAUAUGAGUUUUUCAUUAUUUGUGUAUUGUGCUUCUUCCAGUUUUAUGCAGUUACCUAUUUAACUAGUAUUUCAUUUGGACAAGAAAUUCAAUCUAAGAUUGAUAGAUUUGUGUAGUGGUGUCAAAUGAUCGUGUUGGGCUGAAUUUGGACGGGUCAAAUAGGCCGAAUCAAUAAAUGAUUGGGUCAUUUUUUUCAUAGUAUGGCUCAAAAUUCUGUAUUUACUUUAAAAAUUCACUUAAUAUGUAUAAAUAAUUUAUUCAGAACCGAAAGUUGUAUUUUCUACCACCUGUAACACAUAAAGAUGUGAUCAGAGACUUUUUUUGGACAAGAAAAAGAAAGAGAACACCUCUAAAUGAAACCUUAUGUUUGCUUAUUUUGGAAAUCAAACAGAUUCUUUCUUGAAUGAAGCUGAAGAAGCCAUUAGAGCUUGGUUCCCUUGCCCUUUCUGUUAUGGCGAAAUAGAAGUGCCAAUGCUUUGCAGCCAUUUGCAAGAAGAACAUUGUUUUGACUUAAAAAACGCGGUAAUUUCCCACUCAUGAUGCUUCCUUAUAUCACAUUCUUAUAUGCAAAAAAUGACUACAGUAACAUACUGGAAACUUUUCAAUCUUUGUAUUUGUACUGAAGAAAUUGUAUGAGUUGAUCAAUCUACUCGACGUUUCUAUUACAGGUCUGUCCCAUAUGUGCUGCAACUCUGGGCAAAGAUCCUACUGGACAUUUUUCUGUGCAACAUGCACACUCAGUAAAGGUAGACAUAUCCGCGUCAAAAAUAUUAAUUUUGAGUAUAUAGGAUGAUUUAUAAGUGAUCAGCUGAACCUCACACGCCUACUCCUUUUACAGAGGAGAAGAAAUUACCUAAAACCAGGCUUCUGGAAUAAUGCAACAGCUAUGAUCGGAAAGGAUCCUCGAGAAAUAGCUUCAUUUUUUGGCACAGAUUCAGUAUUUGGUCGAUAUAAGGUUCAAGAAUCUGCUCCUGAUCCACUUUUAUUGCCAUUUCUCUGCAAUUUUCCUCCUUCUGAUCUGAAAUGCAGGCAGCAAGAUAAGUCCUCUGUUUGUGAUACUGCUAUUCCUGAAAUAGAAAGGUAAGUUUAUUCAUUCGUUCUCUUUGUUUUCGUGAAAUUUUCUGAUAAAACAAACUGAACUAAAUACUAAACCUGACAGUUAAGCAUCAGUGUUUAAGUUUGUACCUUUCUGUAUUUGUCCUUCCGUUGCCAAUAUAACCAGCAAAAAGUGUCCACCUAGAGUGUAGUUUCACCAAUUCCCAACCCAAAACCUACCCACGUUUAGAGGCAGAUUCAGGAUUUAGAGUUAUAGAUUCAAUCUUCAAUAUUGUUAAACUUACUGUUCUAUUAAAAUUAUGAGUUCAGAUGAAGCCAUAGCCAAGAGGCUACAUCCGCCUAUCCUAUUUAGAGUUUAUUCCUCAACACUUUAUGUGGUGUAUGUAUUACUUUCAGUAAUCGGUUAUCUAAAGAACUCGAGCUUCUAGACAUGUCUUGAAGUUCUUGACGGAACUGGUGCAAUACGAGCUGUUACCAUACUGAACAUGUGGUAAAGCUGUAGAUAUGAUAAACUGACUAAGACGUUACAAUGUGUUACUACGCUGAAGGAAUGAUAUUUAUCAUAGAUCAUAUAGAUAAACUGUCUAAGAGUUCGAUAUUUUUCAUCAGCACAUACCAGGAAUGAGUCUAUUGUUGCAGCAAUGGACGACCUAGGAGUUGGUCAUGAAACUCGAUGUUUAUUACAGAACACAAUUCUGCUUCAAAAAUUUCAAUAUGAUAACAAUAUUAGGUGUCUUAACAGACCUGAUAACCUCCAGUUUGUUGAGUUUGAAAUGUUUAGCUGAUCCUUGUAGAGGAACUUUUAGUUCAUGGGUUGAAACACGAUCUGUUUCGUUCAGUAGGUUAUGUAUAGAUUGUUCAUACAUUUUAAAUAAAUGUAUGCGCCAAAACUAUUGGGUUGUACCAAACUUGUAAGUCUAUAAUGGUGGCUCCUAAUAAGCAUUGAUUGGUAAACUAGAAUACAUGACAAGUGACCUGCUAUAAUAGGUUAGAAUUAUAUGUAUAACAAUUUAUAUACUGUCAGUAUAUACCGAAUCGGCGUAGGAUGACAGAAAUCUACUGUUGUCUCUUGUGCAGCAGCAAGCUAGCUGUAUCUGAUCCAGAACUAGAAGAGGAUUUUGAAGAGAAAAGGCAGAGAGCUACAUUUCUUCAAGAGCUGGUUGCUUCAACUAUCUUAUAGAAAAUCAACCAACUUUUGCUUUCAUAAAUUAAGCAAGAGACAAUCGUUCCAAAUUACUAGCAAAAGUCAUGUAACACAAGAAAGCAUCUCAAAAACUUCUAAUAUCUAUACAUCAAUGUUACAAUUUCAAGUAUAUUAAUGUAAUCUCAUUUAUCCUUGACGACCAACAUGUUACUGUUUGCUAGUUUUCUUCUUUUCUAUCAUGUCUUGACAAGAUUGUUAAACAAUUCCCAGCGUAUGAUGGAGUCCAAAGGUUGAUUAGUAAAAUGCUGUGCACGCCAUAAGUCACAAGGUUGGUUUCUCUAUAUAUCAGAUUUGUGAUUCAUACUCGGGCUUAAGAUAUCACUGGCAAACAGCGUUGCAGUUUAGACUUAAGAUAUAACAGGCCAAAGGCGUUGAAGCCUGAAAAGCCUGUAGACUAAUGUAACUAAAGUUGUUGAUUUGAGUAGAGAGUUUAUGGUAAUGAUAAUUGGCAGUUACCUAAUUGAAGUACCCAGCAACUUCACAAGUUCCAUACAUCAAAAAAGCUAAAUCAGACACGUUCAUGAAGAACAGUACAGAGAAAAGAAUCAUAGUGACACUUCACAACAGUGAUCCUUUGCCAAUUUAGUAACAAAAGGUCUCUCAUUGACAUAUAUUUCUUGCUCAAAUACUUCUAUUAAACAGAAUGAUCGUAUUUUCUCCUCUUUUAUUUGACUCAGGCAGUAUCAUUUCAUUGUAAACUUAAUACCAUCCAAGCAAGGUAAAUAAAAGGAUAACAAGGUUACAGAUACAUUCGAACUAAUCAGAGCCUGUGGAAAGAUGAAGGUCUUGUGUUCUUUUCCCCACUUUUAAUCGGCACAUUGCAAUAACAUUCUGAAUGUCAUUGCAAAGAACUGCUCUGAGGUUUAGAGAAGAACAGGUGACAGUCAUGACUAACAUGUCACCUUGACAAUGAGCUCACAUUAAAAGUAACAUUUCCGAUAGGGAUCCCAACUUUUACUUAGCCAAGCACAAGGAAUAGAUAGAUAUACUCUUGAAAAUGCACAUUCACUACUCACUAGUGACAUACAAAAGGUGCAGUUGGGAACCAGAGGUAGUUGGACUUGAGAAGAUCUAUGGAAAAGUAAACUCAGACUUAACAAGACUUAUUAUCAUAAAUGAUCGUCAAUAAAAGUGUAUUCAAGUAAACUUGCUCUAUCAUUGGUAGCAACCAGUGCUUUGGUUAAUUCAGCACAAGGGGAUUACAAAGUGUCCAGUUCAAGGCAAACUCACUUCACAAUUCACAGAACUGGACUUAUAAUGAUCUAUAUAGCAACUUUUUUUUCAUUUUUCAUGAGAAUGAACCAGCGAUUUAAAACCACAUUGCUGGUUGAAACAAAGCUCCAAUAAUGGUAAAGAAAGGUAAAACCAGUUUCAAAGCAUCGAAUCCAGAAAGAUCAAACAUAUUCUCAAUAAUCUUAGCUUAGGACGACUUACUUCCUAAACAAAGAAAUCAAAAGCGACCAGUUGGCUACCUAUGCCACAUUAGCUCGAGAAUAAAGACAAACACCGAGGUCAAAGAGUGAUAGGGUGAACAAGACUGAAAGAUGAGAAAAUGGACCAUUCAAUUCUGAAUAUACCAAUGAAAAGUGUAUGUGAUAUCCAAGAUAUUUGUGUUAGUCAAUGAAGAAAAACAUUCCUCAUCAUGUCAACAUGACAUACAACAUAUUUUUCACUGCUUUUGUAUUCUAACGCCAGUGAGUCCUUUUCCUAUCCAAGAUGAACCCGUCAGUAUUCUGCUCAAAGAUGCUAAACUAAAUGAUUCUGAAUAUCAAUUAUAAGCAAUGCAAAUAUACUCAAAUCUGUCUCUCGUACUAUAUUUCACCUAUACGGGCAUAAAGAAGUUCAGAUGUCUUACUUGUAGUUAUCCAACAGAAUACAGUGGUUAAGAAAGCAUAUUACUUUUUCUUUUGUGUUCUUCUAUCAACAAUCAAUUUGUUGAAAAAUGAUGGUCCAACCCGUGAAUCUCAAAUAUUAGCAAUCUGGGCUUUUGUUUCAAAAGAAAGUGUGCAUUUAUCUAGAGGAAAAUAAAGUGCAUGAGAGCAAAUGAUAUCAUUUCUUUCAAGCAAAUGAUAAGUGAAACAAGAGACGGGAAAAAUUAUCAAAAGUUCAGUAGAAUUGGGCGAUAAAACAGGAUACUUCAACUAAAGUAAGAUUCUAAGACAUAACAAAAGUAACCAAAAAGUCGCAUAUAUGACAAUGGAUUAAUAAACUUCAAUGGAAAAAUCCGACCAUAUGUGAAAAGGGAUGCUCAGCUGCAAGUUCAUCAUUCUAAGAUUUUCUGAAUAACACCAGCUCCGACAGUCUUUCCUCCUUCCCUAAUAGCGAACCUCAUACCCUGCUCACAAGCCACUGGCAUAAUGAGCUCGACCACCAUGUUUACGCGAUCACCAGGCAUGACCAUCUUAGAUUCUUCUCCCUUGUCAGUCAUAAUAGCAGUAACCUUUCCGGUCACAUCAGUUGUUCUCAUGUAAAACUGUGGCCUAUAACCAGCAAAGAAAGGGGAAUGCCUGCCACCCUCUUCCUUCUUCAACACAUACACCAAAGCUUCAAACUUGGUGUGUGGAGUAAUUGAUCCAGGUUUUGCCAACACCAUUCCUCUUUGAAUAUCGAUCUUUUGAAUACCUCUCAACAACAACCCCACAUUAUCUCCUGCCAUUGCUUCAUCCAAUAUCUUCUGAAACAUCUCAACUCCUGUUACUGUAGUGUUCCUAGUGUCCUUCAAUCCAACUAUAUCAACAAUUUCCCCUGUCUUAACAGUCCCUCUUUCCACUCUCCCUGUAGCCACUGUACCUCUACCAGUAAUAGAAAACACAUCUUCAAUAGCCAUCAAGAAAGGUAAUUCAGUUUGUCUUUGUGGAAUAGGAAUAUAUUCAUCAACAGAGUCCAUCAAUUUAUAAAUCUUAUCAACCCAUUGAUCAUCACCCCUUUUAAUAGUAGGAUUAGCCAUUAAAGCCUCUAAAGCCAAAAGGGCAGACCCACAAUGAAUAGGAAUAUCAUCACCAGGAAACUCAUAACUUGACAAUAACUCUCUUACCUCCAGCUCAACAAGCUCAAGCAACUCUUCAUCAUCAACUUGGUCCUCUUUGUUCAAGAAAACAACCAUAUUAGGGACACCCACUUGCUUAGCAAGCAAAAUAUGUUCCUUAGUCUGCGGCAUUGGACCAUCAGCUCCUGAAACAACAAGUAUAGCUCCAUCCAUUUGAGCAGCACCAGUAAUCAUAUUCUUCACAUAAUCAGCGUGACCAGGGCAAUCCACAUGAGCGUAAUGCCGAUUUUCAGUUUCAUACUCCACUGUGGCAGUAUUAAUCGUAAUACCACGAGCCCUUUCUUCAGGGGCAGCAUCAAUUUCAUCAUACUUCUUCGGGGCGGAGUUACCCAGAGAAGCAAGCGCCAUUGUCAAAGCAGCUGUAAGUGUGGUUUUCCCAUGGUCAACAUGGCCAAUUGUACCAAUAUUGACAUGGGGUUUCUUCCUUUCGAAUUUACCACGCGCAGCUCGGACAGUAAACCGGCGGUGGCGGGAGGAAGAAGAAGAAGGUGCAGUAGUGGCGGGUGAAUGGAGGAAAAGGGUUGAUGGGUUUGGUGUAAAAGAAGAUGAAAGGAUAAGCUUAGAGGAUUUUGAAGGAAGAACAGUACCACUGGUAUUAAUCUUUGUAGAAGCAGCAGCAGCAGCAGUUGCAGAAGCUGCUGAAAUUGAAGCCAUGGAAGAAGCUUUUGCUGAGGAUUGAAGAUUUUGGAGAAAGAGAGUGAAAUGAAUUGUGGUAGAAGGAAGAGAGGAUAAUGAAGUUAUCUUUUUUUGGUAGGGAGAAAGAGAGCCUCUCAUAUAUUAGCCAUUUGGGCACCUCUCUUGUAUGACAUACUGACACAGCAGUGGGCUGCAACUUGCAACUAUGGGAAUUAAGAGUAUGGGAUAUACGUAAAACUAAUUACUCCAAAAAUAAUGGUCACGUUUCCUUAGUCAAUUUAACUCAUUUUUAGUGAUCAUAUUAUAAAAUGACACGAGAGUUUUUUUAUUGUAAUUUGACGGCAGGACAGAUGACAUACAUGCUAAAUCUGUGAAUCGGUAACAACAGUUACAUUUUGCGUGGUAUGCUUUAGAAAAAUAGUGGAGCUUGUUAUUGAGCUGUUUACUGAUAUUAUGUUAAUUGAUGAAAAUUAUUGAAAGAACAAGAAGUUGGAACCAUAGAGAAACACUAUAGAGAGUCGAGCUUUAGGAUAAGAUGAGAUUACACAAAAUUGUGGCAUCUAAAUUGUAGUGACAAGUUAGAUACUUAAAGACUCAGACAACAGCAAGCAGUAGAAUAGAAUUCAUUUUAAAAAAAUAAAAAUUUCUUUACAGAUUCAAGGAACACCAACGACAAAAAGAAGUAUAAAAAAAAAACCUGCAUAUUUUCAACCAAGUGACAUUUCGAAUAGCUAAGUACUCAGGUAAAUAUGUACAAGUAUACAAUUCAAUGAAAUUGAAGGUCCUGUUUUAAGCUGCAACAUGACUUGCAAGACGCAUUAUACAUAAGCGUGCAAGCAAGCAAAUGCGAAUAACUAACAUAGCAAAUGGAGUCGCCAACAAUCUCAGAAGCAUCGCUUCCUCUGUCUCCUCUUUCAGAUUUACCUCAAUUCCUGACCCUGAACUGAUUUUAAACUUGAUAGAAAUGAAUCUGUAUCUAAACAUACGGUCCAUGAUUAUCCCCUCGAACUUUUGAAUUUUGGAUGUGAAAAUUGUCAGCAACAGCGAAUAAUUUCGGCAUACCGGGACAACUCUGGGACUUUUCAGGGACAGUCAGGUCAUUGGGACAAUCAAAGAAUGGCUCAACAGUUGAGUAGCAAAAGACAAAACAGCAACUUACAUCUUUACAGAGGAACUUGAGUUUUCAGGACAUCAGCAAUGCAAAUUAUCGGAAGAUACUUUGUGACCAUAAAUGCCACGGAUCUCAGGAGGAAGCUUGCUUAGAAGAUCUGAGAUAGCGGAGUCAUGUUUCUUCUUCAGAUCAUUUAGCUCCUUUUGCUGCAAUCCGCGCAGUUUCUCCAGUUCCUUGGUGAUUUGUCUGAUAUCAGCUGAGUAGUUGUUGCUGAUCAUGUUAUUUCUUUCCUCUGAUGAAUGAGGCCUGCUUGCAUAACUAAAAUCCGCAGAAUGAGCAUUGUCACCAAAGUCAAAAUCACGGUGAACACUGGCAUCAUCAUCCACGUGAGUCUCAGAUUUAUAAUCUUCGUGUCCGAGUAAGGCAGCAACAUGUGAACUCCCUCCCUCUCUCAGGAUAACAGGUGAUUCUUCAAAUUCUUCCGUCCAACUGUCUUCAUGAGUUGGUGAAUCGGUCAGCGACGUGUAUGAAGGCCCCUGUCUGCGUGGAGAGCUGCCAUUACUGGUUGUUUUCGGUGAAACAGACCAGUACUUUCGACCUGAAGGAAGUCUUUCCAACACAAGACUACCCGAAUAAGCAGGAUCAAUUGUAAAGGGAGGAGCAUCAUCUCCGACUCCAGAAGUAAAGUUAUCAGAAGCAACUUCAUUGGUGAUGUGAUUGCUAGAGUUUUCUCUUGGUGCCCAAUCUGGGAUAUAUGACCGAAUUUCUGAAUCGAUCAUUUCUGCUAUUGCUGAAACAUCCUGAUCUGUCAGGUCCAGCUCUGCAACCAUUUCACUAGCAACAGCAUUCGCCGUAUCAACUUCAAUAUCAAAGGGGAAGUGAAUGUUUCUAAUAUGACCUGAUACCACAGUGCAAAUGUUAUACAACUAAUUAAUAGAUGCAUCUUAAGCUUGACAAAAGAAACAAGGAGCAAGCAGUAACCUGUUGAAUCAGUAAUUCGAAGUUUAAGAAAUAUUGUAUUUAGGUCCUUCCUUUGGCCCUGCACUGUGAAAUCUCUGCUUCCUUCAGGCAAUGGGUCCUUUGUACUCCUUUCACUAUCAGACUGAUCAUCACUCAUAUCUGUAAAGAUCCCACAAAAGUCAAUAAUAAAGGGACAUUUCAAAAGGCGUGAUCACAUAAUUACCUGCAUGUCUGGAAUUGAUGCUCAAAGAUCGACCUACGUUUCCAGAAUCCUCAUCAGAAAGGAGAAAGGGAUCAACCAAUAGUUUCUUAGCAGGCAACCGCUCAGAAGCUUUUGCAAUACAUUUUUCUAUAAAGGCUUUGACUCUUGGAUCCUUCACUUUUGCCAAUGAGGCAGGCUUGAUUCCCUUCAUAGAUGAAAUUGGCAAAAUCAGAAUAUUAGCAAAGUAGUAUUGUUGUUGUAAGAUGAAAUUAAAAUACCAAGAAAUACAAAGUCAACUAUCUCAUCAGAUUAAUCUGCUAAAAGGAAAAAAAAGUUGCAGAAAACUAAAGUUUGUAAUUUAUAGCUAUCAAAAACUGAAAACUGAUUGUAUAGGACUCGUGGAUUUGUUUGAGUAAGAAUUUAAAGUUGUAAAAUAAAGCACUCCUACAAUCACUCCCUCAAUCCCACUAAAUAGUGUCAUCACGACCUGGCACAACGUUGGUAGAAGAGUUAAAAAUUAAAGAGUAUUUCAACUAAAAAGUAAGCCCCACAAGUAGAGAUAAAUGUUUGCUGAUGAUAAGUUUUGAGAUUAGACAAGGAUCUAAGUUGGUCUCUUAUUACAUGAUAUAAUAGUCCUCAAAAUGCAACAAGUAGUGAAGGGAAGAUAUUUCCCCUUCAAAGCAAGUGGACAACAUAUCAUGACGCAAAAACAACACAUUUGGAAUGGAUGCAACUAAUGUGCUAACUGCUAACUACUUUGAGUACCCCAUGUUCCCCUGAAAGAGAAGACAGCGGUACAUUACCAAAAAUUAGCCAUUUUGGUAUGCUUACCUUUUCUAGUAAAUCUCCAGCACCAGUACCCUCUAAAUCUGAACACAACCUUUUCUUCCCUCUUUUCACUACCACCUUUAUGACUUUCACAUUAAUCUGUCAACAAGAAAAUUACUCCUUACAAUACUGCCUUAAGUGUUAAAGUUAUUUAGCACCUUCAACAGUGAAGAACGCAUUUUACUGUCAUAGUUACCAACUACCACCUACACUACACCCCUCAUGAUCCUACUUGCGCAUUUCCAUUGUUAUUUCUUCAGCCAAACAACCACUACUCUAAUUACCUCUUAAAAUAGUGUGUGUUGGUGAAACUCCUUUUAACACUUCAAUGUCAUGCAAGCCAGUGGAUCUAGAUUAAGAUCUCCAUUACGUCGUUCGAACAACUGAUCAAGAAAAGUAUCCUUCAGUUUAAGUUGUCAAUUCUGCUAAAACCUAAAGAGAUGCUAGGCUUCUCCGCAGUGGUUCGCUUGACCACAUCAUUAGCAUGGUUUAAGUUAACUGCACGCCAAACAAUUAAGCCCUCAUUUGAUCAGCCGUACUCCUUCCACUUUAGCUAUGAGUCAUUUCAUAUAUAUUUCUUGUCAAUGUCACAUGAUCCCGAUAAAUGAACAAUAGGAACCAUGUACCCAAGAGAGCAAGUCCACAGAAGAUUGGACUCAGUUAUCUUGUUCAUCUUAACUAAACUAACCUAAAAAUAUAACACCUUAGAAAUACAUCAAGAUACAUACCACAUUGUUCGAAACAGAAGUCUGGAUUAGCUACAGUCUGAAUUAGCACUUAUAAGAGAAUAAGAAGGAUUAACUUAUUGGAGAGGGAGGGAGAGAGAGAGAGAAUGUGUGUACAAAAAAUUAUUUCAGUUGGAGUAAGGUCUAAAUGAAGUGGUUGAUGCUGCUAACUGAAGCAAUGCAAAACAGAAAAGAAAAAAAGAAGAAGAAAGAUUCACAUUCAGACACAAACUCCCCAAGGUGAGGAUGGUACAUGGAAGUAAACUGAUGAUUGGAAAUCCUAUGAAAAUUGCCUCCUGUGGUUCUUACUCAACGUUGACAAAGCACUCUUGACAAAUAAACCAAGAUGGUAUUAGGCAUUUACCUGAUAUUUUGAAUUUUAAUUGAUCAACUGGAAUGCAUUCCAUCAGGGAUAGAAAUCAUGUUUCUUAAUACCUAUAAUACAAUGACAAUGAACACGUCCAAUUAUGCAAGCAGGUAAGGACAAUAUCUUUUGGGUAGUUUGCUAGAACAAUUGAAUGACCAAUGAAAACAAACACGACAAACUGCAGGCAAUUGGAUGUAAAGUAGUUACUCAAGGAAUGCAUAAGUUCACAGGACCCUUUUUAGUUUUAUGAUAAAGAGCUUGACAACAUCAUAUGAAAUGAACUGUGAAUCCAAUAAUUCAGUAGGCUCACUUGGAUAAAAAAGUUAAGGACCAUAGAACAAAGGAUACAAGACUAAGAAAAUAAAGCCUAAGUCCCUACAAUCAGCACUUGGUUCAUGCAUGGUCACACUGUUUUUAAAAUGGUCAACAACAUCUCAUUCUAUGGUAAACCAUCAUGAGCUACUGAUUCCACCAAGUCAAGGACACUCAUUCAACAGAAGUCGUAAACAAUGUUGAUUUCUUAGGACUACUAAUGUUUGUUUCUUGGAAUAUCAUGUUAUUGUUCACUUCCUUAGCAAAUUGAACAUCUAUUGAAGUGAGGCCGAACACCCUUAUUGAUAAAGGAAAAGGUAUUGGGACUAAACUUACUUUUAUACUCAAGGAUAGAGAGAGAGAGGACACAGAAUUCGGUCUUAAGAACUCCUGAAUGGGCCCUACCCUUGCAAUAUCUAUUUUAUGCUGAAAAACUCAAGAAAAACGAAUAUAGAAAACUCCGAGCGAAAGUACGUUUAUCUUUGACAGUGCAAAAUAGAAAAAGCGGGUGUGGAAAUCAGAUUUCAGGCUAUGCAAAACUAAUACCCCUCCAGAGUGCACUGUUUUAACAGGAUAGCACUGAUGGAGCUUGCCUCACACAAGAUAACGUAUUGUAUCUCUAACAGAAUCUACCUGUGUGUGAAAAGGUCUUGGAGUCAGUAAACCACUCUUUCAUGCACUGUUCAGUAGCCUGGAUGGAGUUAAUUCUUACAUAAAAGCAACAUUAAAUGGGUGUUUCCAGGGGAUAUUAUACAAGUGUUUUGCAUCUGGAGGGAUUGGAAGGCACAAAAAACUACCAGAAAGAUAUGGAACUCGAUUCCUUUAACUAUAUUUUGGGUGUUAUGGAAUGAAAGAAACAAGAGAUGAGUUGAAGAAGAAAAAAGCUCCCUGCAGCAGCUGAAAAUAAAUUGCUUAUUUCUUUUAUUUGUUUGGUCCAAACUUGAAGUAUUAGAGUAUACCUACCAGUUGAUAAACUUCAGCAGUUCCCUAUCAAGUUAAGGAAAUACAGCCUUUUGUAAAUAACUUUUGUAACUAUGCACCUCCAGGGUGCUUUGUUAACUAAAUAGCUUUACUUUUUUCUCAUAAAGAAACGAGCAGAAUCAGUACGGUACAAAUGGAGUAUUCCUUUUCCUUUUUCUAACAGUAAAUUUAGGUCGGCGAAAUAAAGAUAACAGAAGGGGGAAACCUUAGUGGUUUACUGUGAACUCUUGCUAUAAAGUGCUGUUAAAAUCUGUGGAUUUUGUCCAUGGAAGUCAUUGCAGAAAAUAAAUGCCCCAACCGAAGUUGCUUGUUUUUAGUGGAUUACUGCUUAUGGUGCCUGUUUGACUCAGGACAACCUACAAAAAAAAAGUCUUAAGCUUGUGAAACAGAUAUUUCCUCUGUCAAAAUGCUACUGAAACAGUAAAAUCAUCUUCUGAUUCAUUGCAAAGACACAGUUAAUAUGGUCCUUUUUCUGAAUAUUUUUGUUGUUCAAUGGGUGAUACCACAAAGAAUUAAGGAUCUACUUGUGUGCUGGCAAGGUUAGAGAAUGAAGAGAAAGAGAAUGCUGAAGACAUGGCAAAUAAUUCCAUUAUGAAUUAGCUGGACAAUAUGGCUUGAGAGGAAGAGCAGAUGCUUUGAUGGAAGCAAGGAGUUGAUUGCUGUUUUAAAGUUUAGAUGUCUUCAGAAUUUGUUUUGUUGCCUCAAAGGAGAUGCUUAAUCAGAAUUUAUGAUUUUCUGGACUUCAUAGAUUCUCUCUUUGUGAAUGCCCGAGCAUACAACAGACUUGUUGAGUUGUUGGAUAAGAAGAGGGGGCAGCAAGAGCCAAAAGGCAUGGUGGAGGAUAAUUCCACAUUGCAUUUGGUAGACAGUACGGAAAGAAAGAAAUAGAAGAAACUUUGAAGAUAGGUCCAAUUCCAUUCAGAAGGUUAGAUGGGAUUGUAUUGCAUCCUUUUAUUUUUGGUGUAAAGAGGAAGGUUUAGAGGAAACAGAACAGAUUGUAGAAUUAUUAGGAUCCUUGUAGUAUUUUUUUUUCCUUCUAUUCUUUUAUUCCCCUCUGUUUGCAGGUCACCGGCAUAUCCUUAAUGCUGAAGAAUACAACAUUACCAUUUUAAAAAAUAAAUUAAAAAAUAGAUUCUCUCUUUCUGUAGCUUCUAUCCAAGGCCUCUCUUUUAUAAGCUUAUCAGGUACCUUUCUAGUACUAAUUUAACACUCUCCUUAUACAAAGAGGUUGGUGAAAUAAAGAGGAAAAUGCUUCAUACAGUUUCCAGUGUAGAAACAGCUUCGAACUGCAGCACAGUUGGUCCCUAAGAAAUGCCUUAAGCUUGAAGUUUUGUCACUUUAAGCAGGCCGAUGAACUUGAUACUAACAUAAAACCCCAACAAAUUACAAAAAACUGACUUUUUGUAUUUGUUCUGAUAACCAGCUUAAGUGCAUUAAAAUGUCGAAAUGCAAAUGCAACAUCACCUAUAGUUGUUAUUUUAUCAAAUUUAUUAUGAGGGUGGUGCACCCUGAGAAUACAAACUGAAGGAUGAGAUUCCAUCCUCCUCAUUAAUAGGGAAAAGGAGAGAGACAUAAGUCAACAAUCCCAGUAGAGAACAUCCUCCAAAGCAAGAUAACCCGUUUUGCUGCAUACAAGCCUUAAACUAGACUACAUGAAUCCUACAUGGAAAAAAUUCAAGUAUAUGACUAGGGAGCUAAUUAUUUAAACUAAAACCUAGAUGCUUAUUAACUAAAGUCACAUAAUUUAACUAUCAUUUAAGUUAUCAGUGUUUGAGUAUAAUUAUUGAAAUAGAAAUGGAGCAGUAUUCUUCUAUUAGAUACGGAAAUAAACUUAAAACUUAUUGGCUUUUAUUUCUCUAAAAUGCUUACAAUUUUUAUAUUUCUUUGUGAUCCCAAUUUGUAUGACACUCUUUGCACAUGAAGAUACCAAUGGAAAAUUAUGGAAUUACCUAAAGCUUAGUUAAUGAACAGUCAUGUAAAACCAUAAAUGUCAUAGUUCCUCGAGGGUUGAAGGCUUGAAGCCUAAGCUAUGCAAUGCAAGGAUAUUUACAAUUUUUAACCAAGAGUUGCACUCUCAAUAAAAAGAUUUUCCAUCACUCGUGCUGCUGCACAACCUUGAUCCCAAGAAAUGUAUCUCUAUGACUCUAUCAACAAUCGUGAACAUACAAUAACUUGAUAUGUAGAGCAUGAAGAGAGACAUAAAUUCUUACUGCUGUCACUUUCUUAUAUAUUUGAGCAGCGUUGGAACACUCAAUAUAAGGAUAUUCAAAUGUCACGAGCUCCAGCAGGCACAUGCCAAAGGCAUAGAUAUCUACUAGCUCAUCGUAUUCCUCUUCAUAAAGUUCUGGUGCCAUGAAUUCUGGUGUACCUGAGAUCAAAUAUAGAAGUGCACUUUUCAGAACCAUCUAAACUGCCAAUGAACAGCCAAUUACAACCUUUAGUACAGUUGCAAAACUGAGAAAAUCUGAGUAGGACCUUACCAAUGACACUAUGAGCAGCACGAGCCUUGCAAAGAAUUGCAGCGAGUCCCAAGUCACCAAUCUUAACCUCCCCUUGGUUACCAUUGAUAAAAAUGUUAUCACACUUGAGGUCCCGAUGAAUAAUUGGAGGGUCAUGACCAUGUAGAUAUGAGAGACCCUCUAAUAUCUGCCUAGACCAAUUCUUAAGUGCUCUGAUAUCAACCCUCUUAUGUUUUUUGCGGUACCUUCACGAGCAUACAGAAAAAGUAGUCCAUAAUCCAAUAUUUGAAAAAUAUGGGUAGUGGGGUUAAAGAAUUGAGCAAAGAAAAGCAAAAAAAAAAACAGAAGAAAAAAAAACGAAUAGCCAUACUGUCUUAAAGUCCCAGAAGUGAAAAUUUCAGUAAUGAUGUUGAUAUUCUCAUUCUUUGAGUCAACCCACGAGUUAUAGAAUUUGAUUAUAUUCUUGUGCUUGAGGGUUUUAAGCAAAUGAACUUCGGAAUAAAGACGCUCCAAGUCCACAGCAUUCCUCAAGAGAUCAGCCAAUUUAACCUGGUUCCAAGCUACUUCAAUCCCCUCCAAUUCAUCAAAUGCUCGGUAACUAUAUUACCGAUGGUAAGUCAAGAAUGGACAAUAGUUUCACUUGGCAACAUUCAUUAAUGAGGGGAAAGGCAGUAACGCAAUAGUUCAUCUCGGGUUAUAUGUCAAUCAUACAACUUUCACAAAUAUUAAGAAUUAAAACAUAUAAAUAUUCAAAUUUAAUACCUUUAUGUAAUGUCCUCUUAAUCAAUCUAAACUUUUUAACUAUCACUAUAAUAUUUUCUUCCCUUACUACAAAUAUAAUAUAUCCCCUCUGUUUCAUUUAUGUGACACUAAUUCCUUAACAGUGUGUUCCAGAAAAAAUGGCACAUAUUCUCACACUUGGAAACAAUUUAACGUGAACUUCUCAUUCCUCUCUUUUAUAGCCCAAAUUAAACUAACGACAUGGUUAAGACCAUAAGUUCAAAAGUCAUUUUUUCCUCAAAACCCAUGCACGACCAGCACAUAAAUUGGAACAAAGAGAGUACCAUUCAAAUUAACAUCUUAUAUUCCUUAUCCUGUCAAACACAUCAAUGAAAUAAACGGGCAUUAUGCACGUGAAGACAUUCAAAAUAGGAUACACUUUCUUGAAAGCUCCUUUUCCCAGAACCUCUUUGUACUGCAUAUAACAAGACAAUCAAUUCCUUAAUUACAAUGAAGAAUCAAAUAUAUGUAAUGACUAAUUUAAUAUACACCAACCUGAAAAAUAUUAGCCAGAAAUGUAACAACAGUAAUAGAAAAGCAGUCAGAAAGAAUAGAAUCCCAGGAAAAGUAAAAUACAAAAAGAAAUAUUACCCCCAUAGUCCCAAUUUAAAUGAUUCUCUUUCCAUUUUGAGAUUCCCGAAAUCUUUACACUAUUCAACUUGUUUGGGUGGUUGCAAUCGAUUGUAUUGUGUUGUUAGUUUAAAUACUGUGUUUGUUAUAAUUGUUACUCAUUUUAUUGAGCGUAUCCUUAAACUUAUUGUUAGAGGUAAUGACGAAAAUUCCCAUUUUGUGUAACAACAUUUGGUGUGAUCAAGUCGUUAACUUUUUUCCCUCAUUUUUUAUUUACUUAAAAUUAAAUAUACUUAUUUUAUCUUUUACCCAACCUUUUUAUAGCAACUCUAUCCCGUACCCUACUUCUUUUACAAGCUCAUCCUUCUUUUAUAAAUUUAUCCUUUAAAUUAUUGAUGUGUAACAUUAUGUUACGAUGAAAAACGACACAAGCUAUCUAGACGUUGUAUUCAUUAAAGACUACUGUACAUUACAAUACAAUACAGAAACAAUACCUAACAACCAUCCAACCAGUUCAAGCUUUCUCCUUCAUUAAAUUUUUAAUUUGAUAUGAUGAACUUUUCCCUACUCAAACUAACUUUUCAAAUGUUACUUCAACAAAUUUCACCUUAUGCAUUUCAGUCCGACCAUAUAAAAAUAAGCAGAAUAAAGUCAGUAGGCAGUUUCAAAAAUGUACUUCAAAACACUACUUAAGCGGUACAACAAGCCAAAAAAUAAGUUUUCAAAUGCAGAAGCGAGUGAGCGAGAAACUAACCCGGCCGUAUCGACCAGAAGGAUCGAGCUCAACGAACUCCGGUUCCGAUUCAGAAUCGUCCGGUUCCUGUUCAGACGUAGAUUCCUGCUGCAUUCUCUUUGUUCCAAUGAAUUGAGUAUCGAGUAGAAAAAGAAAAAAAAAUCCAAAACCUAGCUUUUUGACAAAACAAUAAACUCAAUUCAGAUCAAUAUGAAACAGCGUAAUUAAGUAUUUUGCCAAAAUAACAAUCAUACAAUUCGUCUGCGGAGAUUGUAAUUGGAAAGAAGACUCAGUUACACCAAACGAACAAGUAUGUAAGCGUAUUAAGGAUCAGUGAAAGAAGAGAAGAAUGAGAAACGUAAAAGGCAAAUGAAGGCGUAGAAAGGGCAAAAAGUUAAAAAAGAGUUGCGGUGGGUUGUGGGUACCGUUGGGUCAAUUGGCAGGUGUUUAUUGGGUGUUUACGCUGCGCAUGCGAACGGGAGCAGACUCAACCCUGACGCCAAAAUUUGGAGCGUCAUUUGCACGGAUGCCUCGUUUAGGUUUGAGGGUUUGAAAAGACUUAAAACUUAAACCUAAUCUAUUCAAGUUUAGUUUGUCAAGUAGAGAUAUAUUUUUAAGUUUGUUAAUAUUUUAUUUGAUAAAUCUAAUAGUUCACGUUAAGCUUAGAAUAGGAUAUUUAUUUUCUUAAAAAGAAGAUUGAAAAAAUGAAAAUGAAGCUAUAAUUAUAUGACAAAUCAAAUCUUUACCAAUAAGAUAAGAGUUGAAAUAAUCAAUCAAUAAGUUGAAUUUUAUUGUACUUUAUGAAUUGAUUUUAAUUUACUUUUACUAAAACUUUUAGUUAUAAAAGGUCUAACACCAUAAAUUCUUGCAUUGUUAUAUUUUUUCUCAUUUAAAUAAGAUUAUAGAAACGCAAUAGCAUAUUUGUUAAAGCUUUUUUUAUUUUUUCUUGUUUAAUUAGAAAGUGAUUGAAAAGUCAACCAUGGAUAAAUUUGAAAGUCAACGGGUUUGGCACAGGGCAACCAAACGUCAAGCUAGUUGAGAAUUUUUUAUUGUAUCUUUUUUUUCAAUCAUGACAACUCUUUGUUCUUUUUACUUUUUUUUUUAUAUCCUCACUUAAAUUAUUGUGGCAUUCGAUACUUCAUUUGAGAUUUUUAAAUUUUAAAUUUAGUAAUUGAUGGUCAAAAGUAGAUAUUAAAUAUCAAGUUUUAAAAUUUCGAUUCAAUACUUUAAUAAUUGAUAAAUGAAACUUCGGUCCGAUAUGAUAUUCAAUGAUACAAUAUUGAAUAUGCAGUCGAUUGUAUUACUAAUUUAACAUUACUGUUUUAAUUAUUUCUAUUCUUUAUGUGGAUGCAUAAGUAAUAGAAGAUCAAUAUGCAAGAAGACGAAAAGAUAUAUGUAUUUGAGUUGUUUAUGUUUAGUAAUACUCCACAUUUAACUUUCUGUUUGAACUUGUAUUAAUGAGUUAUGAAAUGUUUGAUAUAUGACAUUUAUUAACUAAUAAAUAUGGAAUAUCAAAUGAUUCUAAUGUCUCAUGCCAACCCAAAUCUAAAUAUCGUUAUUCUAAAAUUUUACUCUUAUAUAUAUACCUUACCAAAUAUCAAAUUACCAAAAAAAAUUAAUUCACUUCAAUAAUUCAAUUUUUGAUAUUUUACGUCCAAUUCUACUCUAAGUAUUUAUCUAAGUAACACUCCAUAUAAUUAUAAAUGGUAAGGAUAAAAUAAUACUUUUAAUGUUUUAAUUUUAUCUUGUAUUUGUCCUUUAUUCUAUUGAGUCAUAAGUACACCUCGCGAUAUCUUUUGUUAGUAUAUGUUCGUGUUGUGUAAUUUUCUCUUGUUUUUUUAAAGAAUUUUUAUAACUCAGUUGGUUGGCAACCCACCUUGUUGAUGAGAGUUUGACUCUCCACAGUAAUUCCCUCCCCAUUUCCCCCUUCCCUUACCCUCAAUUUUAUUUUAUUUCAUUUUUAAAGAAUCUACUUUUUCAAGUUUGAUUUGAUUUCUAUAUCUUACAAAAUUGAGUAAAUUUUAGGUUUGGUAAACAUAAAAGUCAUAUUUGUAUGCUAUAAUUAUAGUUUGCAUUAUUGCGCUUCAAAAUAAAUUUUAUGUUUGCUAUAUAUGGAACAUCAUAUCUGUAUAAAAAUUACAGGCAUCUAAUUUGUAUAAACGCAAUAAUUUAUAUAAAUCGGACGUCUGUAUCUAUGAAAAUUGUGUUCUAUAUGUAUAUGUUCUUUUAUGUUUGUAAAUCUGCAUAAAAUUUGAAAUUAUAUACAAUUGAAUCAAAAUAAAACAUUUGUAUAUCAAAUCUCUCUUUCACACUCCCUUUAUACAACACAAAUUAUAAAUUGUAAUUUGUAUAAUUUAUAUUUGUAUAAAGAGAAAAUUGCAUAAGAGAACUGGUAGCGCAAUAUAUGUUUUUGUAUAAUUAUAAGUGUAUAGGAUGAAUAUAUAUAUAUUUUUUAUUUGUAUAUAUAAUUUUCUCUCGCUUUAUACAAACAAAAAUACAAUUUAUACAUUUGUGUUGUAUAAAUUGAGAGAGGUGAAGGAGAGUGACAAGCGAGAUUUUUGCAGAGAGAGGCGAUGGUUAAAUAUUUGCUACGAGCUAGAAUGAAAUGAAACUAUAAUUAUAAUAUUUAUUUUGAAUUAAUAAUUUGUUAUUUUAUACCAUUAUUCCUAUAAAUUCCUUUCAACUUUGAACAAUAACCAGUAGCAGCCCAAAAGACAUCGCAUGGGCUUGGGUUGGAUAAAAAUAUGGGAAAUUUUUCAAAAUGUCAAUAUUUUAGCAUUUAAGAGGAUUCAUUAGCUACAACUUUAAUAUUUAGUAAAAAAGUCAUUUUAGUUUGUUAUGUAUGUUUUUAUUAUUUAUUUUUAUUUAAAGAAUAUAAUAUUCUAUUUAUAUUUAUUAUAGUUUUUUAUUAGUUUUUAUUCAUUCCAAUAGGUAUGCCGAAUUUAUCUAUACAGUCAUUUAAGAAAUAUAUUUGUAUUUUCAUAUAUUUUUUCCCUAUAUAGUUAUUUUUUUCUUCAAAAUCCUGUAUGUAUUCAUUUCAAUAUGUAUUUUAUUUGUAUUUCUAUUUAUUCUAGUUUUUAUUUAGGAUUUUGUAUAAUAAUAUAUAAAAUACAAAAAAUUAGUAUGAUGAAAAAGUGAAUGAAAUAUAAAAUUGAAAAAAAAAUUGAAUAUUUGGUGUACUCAUUCUUAAAUAAAACACAUAACUAGUUGACAUACCUUUAGAAUAAAUACAAAUUAUAAAAAAAUGUCAAAUUCAGUUGACAUACCUUUAUUAAUUUAUAUUCAUUCCAAUAUGUAUGUCAAAUAAAAUGUAGCUAUUUAAGAAAUACAUUUGUAUUCGUAUAUAUUUUUCACUGUGUAUUUAUUUUUCUUUUAAAAAUCUUGUUUCCUUUUCUAAGUCGUAUUCAUUCCAAUAUGUCUAUUAUUUGUAUUUGUAUUCGAAUACAAAUAAACUAAUAGAAAGUUCUUCUUAUAAAUAAAAUACAUAAAUAUUUGACAUACAUUUGGAUGAAUACAAAUUAGGGACAAAUACAAGAUUCAUAAACCAUACAACAUGAAAUUUUUAAUAAAUACAAAUAUUGAUAGUAUACAUAGUGAUUUGAAUACAAAUUAAGAAAGCAUGCCAAAUUCUAAAAAAGAAUUAUAAAUACAAAACAAACUAAUAGAAAAUUGUUCGCGAUCUUCGUCGUCUUUUUCAAGAUCCUCACGAGUAGACAAAGAUUCUACAUUUGCGUUUUGAAUUUGAGGAAGGUUUUGCACACCAAUGAGUCUUGUAAAUGUUCUUACCCUCUUUUUUCCCUCAUUUUAGCAGCGGAUCAUACAUUAUACACUAUUUGUUAAGUAAUAAAUAAAUUAAAGGAUGAAAAAUCACCAGAAAUUGGUUGAUUAAGAUGAAUACCUCUAGUAAGCCUCUUGGAUUCGGCCAUUGGAGAGUAAAUCAUAACGGAAAUUGAAAAAUACAAACAACAUUUUUUAAGAUUUAAACAAAAAUAAAAUUAGAAAAGAAAUCUGAAAAUAGGAUAAAGAUUAGAGAUACCUUAAUCAAAGGGAUUCUUAUUGAUUCAAUUUUGGAUUAAAAAAACAACCAAAAUAUAUGGCAAAAAAAUAUUUGCAACUUGAAUGUUGGAGGAAAAUCAGAAAAGAUAACCAUGAGAGAGAAAAAAAAUUAAAUGGGAGAGAAAAUUAACAAUUUGAAAAGAUAAAUAUGAGAGACUAUAAUUUUUUUUUUAAAAAAAAGAUAUAUAGAAUUAAUUGAAAAAGAGAGAUAAAAUAGGAAGAAAUUGGGACACAUACAUUUUUUAAAAUAAUGACAUUUUUGCUAAUAUUUAUAAAGUAUGAAUAUUUUUACUAAAUAUGUUAUUUAUUUUGACUAGUUUACUAAUUUUUCCUAAAAAUAUUUUGGGCCUAAGUUUGCUAUUUGUGACAGAGGCCUGCUAUGUUAUGUAAUAAAAGGUGGGAAAAUUGUAUAUAAUAGCAAACUAAUAACCUAAAUUAAAUGGAAUAGUUAGGGUUUGAUUUAAUUGUGCUCCAUAGCAAAUAUUAGCUAAAAUUUGCCAGCUUCUCUCUCCCAAAAAUCUCGCUCGCCUCCUCCAUUCUCGCUCGCCUCUCUAGCUUUAUACACAGAAGUAUAUAAUUCUGUUUCUGUUUUGUAGAAAGCGAGAGAAAAUUGUAUAUACACAUUCAAAAAUGUAUAUCUUCGUGUUAUACACUUAAUUAUACAAUUUACAAACAUUUUACUUCAAGUAUUGCAGAGAAAAAGGCCAACAAAUUAUACAAGUGCAGUGAGAUACAAUUUUCUCUAGUUUUAUACAACAGAAGUGUAUAUAUUGUGUUUCUGUUUUUGUAUAAAGCGAGAAAAACAUAUAUCUUCUUGCUAUACACUUAUAAUUAUGCAAUAUACAUACAUUUUAAUUCGAUUCAACUGUAUGCAAAACAAAUUAUACAAUUGCAGCGAAAUAGGCCAGCGAAUUUUUUAUUACGUAUCCCCCCCCCCAAAAAAAAAGAUUUUAUUCUCUUAAGAGACAUCUGGAAAGUUGAACCUGUUAAAUAGUAGUAUCAUAUUUGGCAAACAGCCAACUAAGGACUAAAUUAAUUAGUGAAUUAAUCAGAACAUAUUUAAUUAUAAUAAACUCCGACAUCUUCACAGAAAAUGUUUGAUACCCAGCAGAUUAGUGGACUGACCAUUACGUAUUUUAUUACUAAUAAUAUACAUGAAUCUUUUGACUUAACUAGCAAAAAUUGCGAUACAAUGAUAAAUAUAUUUUUUGUUCUUAAUAAAAAAUUUUGAAUUUGAAUCCCUCUUGCGAACAUCUUUGUUAGGAAGACCAAAAGAAAAAAUGUUUUGGAUGCACCAUUGAAAAAGUGUACCACUAAAGAUGCAAUAAGUAUUAACUAUGUAAGCUAAUUUAGUGGUAUGUUUGGUGAAGCUUUUGGAAAGCCAAAAUUAUCACAAUUUUAAUAAAAAGUACUUAUUUAGAAAGUAAAGAGUUAUGUCAUUUUAUUUAAAAAUCAAAUAGAGGGAGCUUUUAUAUAUAUAUAUAUAUAUAACAAAACGGAAAAUCACUAAUACUUUUGAAACUUUGAUCUUUUUUUCAUUAACUCAUACAUUUUAGACUUUUAGUUACAAUAACAUGCUAACUCUCCAUAUCAAAAAAAAAUUCCAUCACUAUCCAAAGCCAUCAACACUUUCAUCAUAUGGUAGCUAAUUAGAAUUAUAUAGAUAAUAGUUACAAGAAAUUUAUAUAUAUUAUCUAAUUAUAUAGGAAAUAAUUUAUUUACGUAUUAGUUAUUUAAUUUUUUAUUUUGUAUCAAUUAAUACGUAAAUAUCCUCAUAAGUAAUUGUAAUACAUGUAUUAAUUAGUAGAUUUCUAAAUUACAAACCACAUUAUAUCAAUAUUAUGAGAAAAGACAUAAAGUCAGCAUUGAAGUUGUGUCGAAUUUUCAAAAAGACACCUUAACUUUGUGGGUGUCCUAUUUCCUCAUUGAACAAUUUAAGAGUGUUAUAAAUAUCUCACUUUUUACUCAACCUCAAUUGUAAAAAAAGAUGUGCAAUUACGCAUCAAUAAUUGUUUGACACGUAUUAAAUUCUUUUAAUUUUUAAUUUUUAGUUUCAUUUUCAUUUUUAUUUUUAUUUUUCUAUUUUUAUUAACUUUAUUUAAAUUUUUCUCUCUUUCUUCUUAAAUCUUCAUUACUCAAAUCUUUUAUUCUUUGUUGUAAAUUCUCCAAAAGUAGCAGUCAUUGUCGCAUUCAACGUAGCCUCCAUGAUGCUUUCUUGUUACAACACUAUUUUUGUUACUAAAACAUCACUAAAUAAGAUCAAUUCAACUCUCAAGUUACUAAAGCAAGGUAAUAGGAUAAAAAAAAAAUAGAGUUUCCUAGUACUCUAUAAUCAAUGGAGUUCACAUUUCUUGUUUUAAAAGAAAAGGAUAAAAGAAGAAAAAGAAACAAAGAAAAGCAAGAGACAAGAAAAAAAGUGAUAAAAAUUGAUGAAGAAGAAAAAGUAAUUAAAUUUUUGAAUUUGGGUGAAAGAUAAUGGGAAGAUGAUAUAAAUUAAUUAAUAAUUAAUAACAAAGAAAUAAAAUGACACGUGACACUUUAUAGCUGGUUAUGACAGUGAAAAGACUGGGUCACACGCCUCAUUGGCGUGGUAACAACCCAGACGAGAAAAUGGGUCAAAAUGGCCCAUUUACAAAGAUAUUAAAUAGUUUCGUGGGAUGAUAGGAUACUUUCAAAGUUAAGAUGCUUUUAUGCAAAUACCGGACAACUUUACUGAUAAGUUUAUGUCUUUUCUCUAAUAUUAUAUAUACAUAGUAAAAGAAUUUUGUUUAUGUAGAAUUUGAUACAUAAAUAACUUACCUCCUAACCAGCUAUUAAACAACUAUUAUAAUAAUAUAUGAACCAACAAUUUAAUCGAGGACAACGUUAUUGUUAUACUUUUUCAAUAAUAUAAGGGCAAAUAUAACUACUACUACUUCUUAGAGGACGACCAUAAUAAUUGAUAACGUAUAUUAAGAAUUAUCACAAAUUAAGGCACAUUGGAGAAUAUUCUUCCUUGGCUAACAAAUAAACAUAAGGAAUAUAUAUAAUUUUGUAAACGUGUUAGAUUAAAUCAAUAUACCCUACUAGGGUUGUUUAAAUGUUGAAUUUGAACAUGCAAAAUUCUUAUACAAGACUUAGUCAAUUAUAAUCCAUCGCAUAACGAAGUAAUUAAUUAAGUAAAUGUUUUCUCACUCGUAAGAGACUUGUAUUUACUCCUUCCAAUUUUAGUAAAAAUGGUAAAAUCUUUCAUUUUUUGAAAAUAAGUAGUCAAGUCAAACUGGAAAACAAUGAUCUAAUUUUCUGUAGUUAUUUUGGGUAAUAUGUUACCUGUCAUUAUUUUAUAAAAAAAAUUCUGUAGUUAUUUUGGUAAUAUGUUACCUGUCAUUAUUUUAUAAAAAAUUAUCUUAAAUACAUAUCUUAUUUUAUCAUAAUCUCUAAAUUUUGCUGUUAUUUCUUUUAAAAAAAUAAAAAACCCUCUCUUAGAUAGAUCACUUCUCUCUUGCUGAUACUUCUAUAUUCCUCUCGGAUACAUCCCUCUCUUAUAUAUUCAGAUCCUAUUCCGUCUCUGAUACAUUAUUUGUUCUACGUAUUUGGAUGUCCUAUCCUCGAUAUGAUACAUCACUCUCCUCUUGAAUACCUCCCUCAUUUAUGUGAGGAAGUCAAAUAAUGUAUUCAAAAUUUAUAUUUUUUAAAGGAUUUUGGUAAUUUUAAAAAAAUAGAGAAAUUAUGUAAAUAAAUCUUAACACUAUGAAAUUUACAUAAAUUAUACUUUAUUUUAUUCGUCCAUUUGUCACAGUAGUCGGUCAAUAUAUAUUUUGAUUUGGAUGGGGUUGUUUUGUACUAAAAUAGAUACAAAUUUUUAAAGUUUGAAAUGUCUAAUAUGAGAAAAGUUUGCAUUUCUAUUUUGUGCCAAUUUUUAAUUUUGUGAAAAAGGCUUAAUAUACUAUUUAACUCUGUCAUUUAGAGAUGAUAUAACUUCAUUAUGAAAAUGACUCACAUGUACCUAUAUCAUGCAUUAUUAAGUAGAACUCUUUAUGAGAUGCAACAUGUACUAAUGGUUAUGUACUGACUACUCUACACUUAAUCAGACGUCUCGAAUUCGAGUUUUGGAUAUAAAAAAUGCCACUCAUGAAUGGAUCCUAUAGAGUGCAUCCAAAUUUAAUCGGGACUCUAAUGUAGACUUUGAACACCGAGUGAUGAAAAAAAUAAUUAAGUACUUACACCAUUUUCCUCUUUUUCUUAACCAAGUGGAUGUGGUGUGGGGCAGGUCGGGAAGAAAGAAACAAGCAAAUAGCAACAAGAGGAAGAAAAAAAAAAGAGUAGCUUUCAAUCAAUUAAGAUGAUGUGAAAAGAUAAUAUAUAGUAGAAUUAGUUUGUGACAAUUGACUGGUUCAAACGUCCUAGUUUAAUUAGAUGAAUUGACUAAAUAAUUCCAGAGAAAGAAUAGUUUAAUGUAUUAGGAAGAUAAAUACGAAUUAUUAUUUGCAAGUUUGAAUGGCUACGUGGUCCUGCUAAUAGUUUUAAAAAUAAAGUGUUCACACUCGAUAUUUUUAUUAAAUAAAAAAAAUUAAUUAAAUAAUCAUAAAUAAAAUGAAAAUUCAGAUAGUCAACCAAUCAAACAGUAAUUCAAAAUUUGCAGGUGCUAAUUCGUUUACAUAGGUGGUAUUCAAGUAAGAAAAUGCUACUUUAACAUUAUAUAACAUGUUACGUUACUAUAUUAAAAAUAAUUCACAUGUGUUUGUGUUAUUCAUGUGUAAGUAAGAAAGUUCCAUGUAUUACCUACCAUAUUAUUAUUAUUAUUAAAAUAAUGCACACGCAUUUGUGUUAUUCAUGUGUAACAGUGUAAGUAAGAAGUUCCAUCCAUUAUAAACCAAAUUUGGAAAAAUAAAAUGUUUUGACUAUUUUAACAGCACGGGACAGUAGGCUAUUAGAAUAUAAUGAUGAAUUUAGUCUUUGAUAUAAAUAAAUAUAAAAUGCUUGUGAUAAAUAUGAUUAGUUUAAUUGUGUUAAAGAAUGACAAAAGUCCCACAUAGGUGGUUAAUGAGAUGGUUGGACUCCUUAUAAAACUUGAAAAAAUCCUCCUUCAUUUGAGCUAGCUUAUGGGGUGUGAGUUAGGCCUAAGACUUAAUUUCACAUGGUAUCAGAGCAGGGCCCGUCUCACCCGAUGUUGUGAUCCCCAAAAUCAAAAUUGUCCACGCACCAUAUGAUAAGCACUGAGCGUGAGGUGGGGUGUUGAAGAAUGACAAAAGUUUUACAUCGGUGGUUAAUGAGAUAGAUAGAUUCGUUAUAAGGCUUGGGGCAAUCCUCCUCUCUUUGAGCUAACUUUUGGAAUUUGAGAUAGGCCGAAGACCUAAUUUUACACAUUGUUCAAACCAAUAACUUUUGGGAUUUGAGUUAGGCGUAAAAUCUAAUUUCACACAUUGUUCAAACCAAUAAAUGAUAUUAUACCCUACCAUCUCAAUUUAUUUGUCAUAAUUUGACUGAAUACAAAAUUUAAGAAAGUAAAAAAGAUUGUUAGGAAUUGUUUGUUAUGAGUGACAAAGAAUAAUAAUUUCAUAUUAAAAUGUAGAAUUAUUUUAUCUUAAUUUUGGUCAAGACUCAAGGGUAUUAGCUAAAUUGUCCCAAGAUUUGUUUGUUAUGAGUGACAAAGAAUAAUAAUUUCAUAUUAAAAUGUAGAAUUAUUUUAUCCUAAUUUUGGUCAAGAGGGUAUUAGCUAGAUUGUCCCGAGAUUAUUUAUCUCACCCUUUGUAGCAUAUUGAGAUAAGUUAUCUCAUAUAUAUGAUAGAAUAACUAAUCUUAUGAGGUAACUCCGUCGAUACCAUCACAUACCAAAUGACCCUUAAAUCUUGUGGUUGUAAGUUGUAACUAAAUGUGUAUAUAAUAUAUCAAAAUGUUCUUUAAUCUUAAGAUGUUAAACAUGUCACGUAAAAUAUUAAAAAUAACAAUAUUCCAAAUUAUGAAAAAGACAUUAUUUUCUAUAUCUUAAGUCUAAGAAUAAAGUUACCCUUAUUAUUAGCUAUAUCAUUUUUUUCAUGAUGAUAAGUGAUAAACUCUAACACCAACAAAAACAUGAUAACAUAUCGAUUUUGCAACUCGAAAGUUUGUAAAUCUUCAAUUUAAACCUUAAACCAUAAAUGUAAUCUGAUAAAAUGAAAGAGAAAAAAAAACCUUAUUAGACUCUACAAAAUAUGCUAUUAUAAAUUACUAAACUACUUAGAAUUUCAUAUCGAUAGAGAGAUGGAAAAUUAAUCAUUGAUCUUCCAAUAAAUUGUUUAUCGAUGCUGACCCCAUUUAUCAUUUAUUAUUGGUGUGUACAAAUUUCAAUAGUCCAUACAUGGAAAUAUUUAAAAAUAAUUUAUUUAAUACAAAAACAAUGUGGGACAUAAGGCAUUGGCAAGUUUUUUCCACACGGUCUCAACUUGACUUGUAAAGCUUAAGUCUACGCUCGUUUUUCUUACAAUGCAGCCAACCAUUUCUGAUUCAUAAAAACCGCCAAUACACGCUUAGAAAAAAAAAAAAUCCAUCAACCACCACAGUUUCCCUCGUUCACCUCUCUCCUCCCUCUCUGUCCGGUUUACCGGAAAAACAAGAAUCUCAAAUGACUUCGAAUAUCCACUUUUUUCUUUUAUACGUUGUGAGCCUUUUCCUUUUUGUUCAAGCAAGAUUGAAUCUUUAUCCACCAGAUCAUGCUGCACUCUUGCUUGUACAAAAGGACUUAGGCAUCAUUUCUGUUAACAACCCGUGUACGCUCGCAGGAAUAUCGUGCGAGCGUAGACCGGGUAACACAACACAAGUUGUGAGAGUUACCCGUAUUGUAUUCAGAUCCAACGGAUUAAAGGGAACUUUGUCUUCUGCUAUUGGCAAACUCACUGAGCUCAAAGAGCUUUCUCUUUCCGACAAUCAACUAUCUGAACAAAUCCCCGUUCAGAUUAUUGAUUGUCGGAAGUUAGAGAUUCUUCAACUUCAAAGGAACAGAUUUUCUGGGAAGAUUCCAUCCGAAUUGUCAGCUUUAAACCGUUUAAGGAUAGUUGACUUUUCAUCGAAUGAGUUUUCGGGGAAUCUUGAUUUCUUGAAGUACUUUCCUAAUCUGGAAAAACUGUCUCUGGCUGAUAAUAUGUUCACUGGAAAAAUACCAUUUUCAUUGAAAUCUUUCCGAAAUCUUCGUUUUCUCAACAUUUCAGGGAAUAGUUUCCUUGAAGGUCCAGUACCUGUCAUGAGCCAAAUUGAGCAUUUAUCAGCAGAUUUGAAUCGAAAAAAUGGCGUUCCUAAACGUUACAUUCUAGCUGAGAAUUCAACAAGGAUAUCUGCAAUGGGACCUGCUUCGGUUCCAGCUCCAGCUCCAGCACCUGUCAAUCGUGUUGUACCGGCGAUGCAUAAACGUAAGAACAAGAAAAGGAAGUUACGAUCUUGGUUUCUUGGUUUCCUAGCUGGAACUUUUGCUGGGGGUAUAUCUGCUGUGCUCUGUUCCUUGCUAUUCAAGAUGGUAAUGUUCUUCGUAAGAAGAGGGAAUAACGAUUCAAGUUUAACGAUAUACAGUCCACUGAUCAAGAAAGCCGAGGACUUGGCUUUCUUAGAGAAGGAAGAUGGAGUGGCAUCGCUUGAAAUGAUUGGAAAAGGUGGCUGUGGAGAAGUUUAUAGAGCAGAGCUACCGGGGAGUAAUGGGAAGAUUAUAGCUAUAAAGAAGAUUAUCCAAUCCCCAAUGGAUGCUGCAGAGAUCACGGAGGAAGAUACUAAGGCGUUGAACAAGAAAAUGCGUCAAGUUAAAUCAGAAAUUCAAAUUGUAGGUCAAAUCAGACACCGGAAUCUGCUUCCAUUACUCGCGCAUAUGCCAAGGCCAGACUGUCAUUACUUGGUCUACGAAUACAUGAAAAAUGGGAGUUUACAGGAUAUCCUGCAGCAAGUCACAGAAGGCACAAGGGAAUUAGAUUGGUUGGGACGACACAGAAUUGCAGCGGGGGUAGCUGCUGGUCUCGAGUAUCUCCAUAUAAACCAUACUCAACGCAUAAUUCACAGAGAUUUAAAGCCAGCAAAUAUCCUACUUGAUGAUGACAUGGAAGCUCGAGUUGCUGAUUUUGGCCUUGCAAAGGCAGUUCCAGAUGCUCAUACACAUAUCACCACUUCAAAUGUUGCAGGAACUGUUGGAUUUAUUGCACCAGAAUAUUAUCAGACACUGAAGUUUACAGAUAAGUGUGAUAUAUACAGCUUUGGUGUGGUGCUAGCUGUGUUGGUUAUCGGUAAGGGUCCAUCGGAUGAUUUUUUCCAACAUACUUCUGAGAUGAGUUUAGUUAAGUGGCUGAGGAAUGUAAUGACUUCUGACGAUCCUAAAAUAGCAAUUGAUCCUAAGCUUAUAGGAAAUGGAUACGACGAACAAAUGCUUUUGGUUCUCAAGAUAGCUUGCUUUUGUACUCUCGACAAUCCAAAGGAGAGGCCUAACAGUAAGGAUGUUAGGUGCAUGUUAACUCAGAUCAAGCAUUAGAUAACCAAUACACUGGUUAUGUAACUAAGAAUCUGUUCUGUAUUUUCAGUUUCGCAAGUUGAUAUUUUGUUGUAAUUGUGUUAUACAUGUCAAAUCAAUAUUCAUUCCACCUUGCUACUUAAAUAACUAAAACUCCAAAUGCAAUUAUCAUUUGCUUCUUUUCAAACUAGACAUAUCCCAAUGUGUUAUGUGUAUGAUCAAGUUUUUAACAUUAGUAUUGGAGUCUAGAUGAGUUAGCUUUUAUCAAGAUGACUCAUGUUUUGGAAUUUAGAAUACCUCUUUGGGCUGAUGAGGUCAUUACUCCAGUUUCAAAGGAGCAUCGAAUCAAUAGUUCAAUACUAAUCUCCCCAGUCAACUGACCUUUGAUUUCGGAGAUUAGUGCAAGAGUAACAACAAAGAGGGGUUGAAAUUCAUUUGAUUGUAAAGAGAGGGAUUUCGCUUCAAAUCUAAAUGAUUUAUCUUCUUCUCUUAAAGACAUUUCUAUUUAGGACUUGAUUGAGGGAUCAAUUUUCUCCAAAACAUAAAGUAGCACGAUCAUAACCCGUGUCCCCGCCCCUUUAAAGGUAUGGAAGUUCAUUGAUGAAUAUGUAUAACCAUAUGCUUAUAAUUAAAUCACAAGUUGGCUUACAAAUUUGAGAACUUACAGAGCAAGCUAAUUGCUGACUCAAUUGAAUCAAUAGAACGUUCCAAACAUUUGGUAGGAAGAAAAAAAAUGCAUAAAAUGUGAAAUAUCAUUGAGCCUAUCUCAUGUUGGGGUGGGUUUGGGCCAACCCAAAAUUCAAAUCAAAAUCCUGUAUACUUGGAUUAUGAAUUUAACUUUUAAAAAUUUAUGAAUUUUGGAAUUUAAUUCUAUGAAUCCAAUUUUUAGUCCAAUAUACAAUUACAUGAUAUGGCGGCUUGGAGUCUCAAUCUCGAUUAACUAUAGAAAGUUACUAUUAUAUUUGACCGAGAAAACUAUUAGAUGAAGUGAGGUUGUAUAUUAGAGCUUUUAAUAUGAGUUAGUCCAUCCGAUUCAGACUAAUUCAUACAGAUUUUGACAUCUUACCGGUCCGAUCGAGUUAGUCAAUUUUUGAUGUGGGCCAGAAAAUGAUAAAUCCAAUCCAUAAGUACGUAGGUUGCAGGUUUGCUGGGCUCGCCACUUUUUUAAAAAUGAUAUUUUUUUAUAAUUAUUAAAUUAAAUUAUAAAUUAUAAUUUAAAAAUAUUAUCAUGAAUAUCGACAAAAUCAUAUUACAUGAUAUAAUCAUAAAUAUCGAUAAAAUCAUAUUACAUGAUAUAAUCAUAAAUAUCGACAAAACCUUCAAUCCAAUUUAGAUAAAAUGCCAAAUAGUAGAAAAUUAAAGUGAAAUAAAUAAAGAGUAGGCAAUAUGAACAUAAGCCCUUAUAGCUCAGUGGUAGAGCGUCAGUCUUGUAAACUGAAGGUCCGUAGUUCGAUCCUGCGUGAGGGCAUUUUCUUAGUUUUGUACACAUUAAACAUUUCUGUUUUAUUACUCUAAUGUUUGUGUAUACAUAUUUAUAAUAUACAAUUAUCUAACUAAUAUACAUAUACAAAAAGUUUCCCUACUUUUAACUCUUGAAAUUAAGUUUUUGUAAGAAUACGUCUAUUUUUUUUUCCCGAAAACUUUGACAAAUAAGUGACAAUUCAUUCAAAUUAGGCUCAAAGUUUGAAAAUUAAUAAAAUUUAAUUUAGUUAAAUAGUUCUAUAAUUUUUCAACAAAGUUAUGUCAACUGAUACCCUUUACAUCAGGUGGCUCUCAUUUUUUACUCUGUAUAAAUUAAACACUUCUAUUUCAUUUUUUCCAAAAAAGAAACAAAAAAAAACAAACUAAAUCAAAUACUUUUGACUCUUGAAAGUAAGUUUUUGUACGAGUACAUUCUAAUUUUUCCCAAAAACUUUGACAAAUAAGUCACAAUUCAUUCAAAUUAGGUUUAAAGUUUGAAAAUUAAUAAAAUUUAAUUCAGUUAAAUAGUAUUAUAAUUUUUCAAUAAAUUAAAUUUAAUAGCCUUUACCUGAGGUGGCUCUGCCACAUACUACACCAAUCUUGAGUUAAAAAACACACACCAAGGAAUCUUCUUUUUGUACAAGUCUUCUAGAUCUAAGAUCCAAAUUCCAUGUACUAUGAAAAAGUUUUGGAACUUUUCCCUUCAAAACUUUACUCGUAUAUUCUUUUAUCUCAAUUUAUGUGUUAAAUUAUUUGUAAUCCAUGUUAAAAAGGAUGUUUUAUCUUCUUAUUUCGAUAUGAUUUUAAUUUUAAUAGAAUGCUUUAUAUCAUAUAAAUCUUAUCGUUCUUAAUUUAAUUCAAGGAUGAAUUUCUUCCCAAAUAACUUUUCUAAAAUUUAGAAGCUAUUUUAAAUGGACUAUUGGAGGAAAAUGUAAGUGAAAGAAGGUUAUUUUUGGGUUUUAGUAUUUGGUUGUCAUUAAAUUUGUUCGUGGAAUUAUAUUGCGUAUGUUAUUAUUAUUAUUGUUAUGAUAGUAUUUGGUUGCCAAAAAUGACUUUGAAAUAUCUUUUUGGUUAAAGUGAGAUGGUGGUAGAUGUAGAAAACAAAUUGAUAACAAUAAAAUAAAAUGUGUGUAUAGAAAUGAAGGGAAGAAUUAGUGUACCACUAGUGCACUCAAGUUGAGUAAUGAGUACCAAGUGUCCCACUUAGGAGUUCGAAUUUGAUUAGAUAGAAGAAAAAUAUCAAAAUAUUGUCCAUUUAAAUCACCAUGCCAUCAUUUCAAUUUUCACGAUAGAGAAAGUAAAAUUGGAUGUGUUCAAAGAUAUGAAUGGUGCAAAUCAAAUGAUCUUAAUUCGCCCUACUGUUUUUUGAAUUUAGGUUAUCGCAUUACUCUAUUAUCGUUAUUAUUUUCGUACAAGUUGAUUUACUUCUUUAUUUUUAUUUUCUCUUUUAAUAUUUAUUUUGAUAUUUGAGUCGAGAAUUCACUGAAAAUGUAUAUUUUAUCCUCUUUAUACUCACUCAUAAAAUUUUAAUAAAUAUGUUAUGGUUUGUACUAACGAACAUAAAUACAUAAAACUAUAUGUGUCCUCCACAAAAGGGUAAAAAACUAUUUUAGUUUCAAGUUCUCCAAUCCUAUUUAUGAGCAUUAAAUUAAAGGAACACUUGGACGAAAGAUGAUAAUCAAAGUAGGGUCAUUGGGAGUUUGCUGCUUUUGGGCCUUCUCUGCAGCUUAUCUGAUCUUUUUUUGGAAAUAUCAGUGUCUUUUCUCAAAUAAAUUGCGAUAAGGUUUUGGAGACAUCCAAAAAUCUCUCGACUCUUAUCACGCUCCAAUUUUCUUCAUUAGUUAAGCAGUUGGACGAUUCUUACUGUAAUACUAAAAUUUGUUUUUUCGUCGUCUCAUAAUAUCACACAUUAGCAAUUUAAAAAAUAAAAGCAACUUGCAAAUUUUAGGGAUCGACCACAUUUUUUUUUCUGUUUCUCCAGAGUAUUACAAAGCACAAUAAACAGUAGAAAGGCGCACAAAACAAGUAUAUGAAGCAUAUAGUUGGCUAAUUUUAUUACACAAAAUGAAGAUAUAUAUACAGAGACUACCACACAGUAGUUGUAGAAUUACUCUUUUUGUAUACAACUCUUUUGCUGAUACAACACUCUUCAUCUACUAAAAGACUGACUCAGAAAUAAUAAAUAAACAUAUAGAAUAGGUCUCUACAGUAGGAAAUAUGAAAUGGUAAAAACUAAAUUACAUUCUAUUGAUGGUCUAUUUACAAAGAUCGAGUUCGCCUUACGAUAUGAAACACACACUUUUGACACUAAGCUGCCAAUCUGAAGUUCAUCACUUGAUGAUGGUUAAAGUCCAUUUUCGGUUCCUCUUCUCUCUUUCUUUUGGGCAGAGAUAAAGAAGACAUUGCCCUGGCUGACACUACCUUUCUAACAAGUGAUUUCCACAGCUCGUCAUCACCCUUUUGUUGCACCUUCAAUUUGAAUUGUCUGAAAUGUAAAAUAUGGGGCUGUAAGAUACUCGAGAGUCGAUAUUGACCAAGAACAGAAAAAAAGAAAAAGAGGACGAUUAGUUACUGUUUCAAAUUGACCCCUACUGAUAAAGAAGGCAAACAUGUUCUUUUUAAGCUUGAUAGUUAUGAAGCGAUUUUGACCUUAACCAACCCAACGUGUUAAAAAGUUAUUCGAAAUCAUGGGAGAUAUUUUCUUGAGGAACUGGACAAAUGGAGAAAAUCCUGUCGCUGUCUACAUUUUGAUACCGUCUACGACAGGUGCAUCUGGGUAUUAGUCGAAAUGGGACCACGGAUCAAUUAUUACUACUUGGAUGGUUGUGUUUCACAUCAACAACAAUCUCAACCAUGCCGGCAUACAGUGAAAUUUGGAGAAAAUAUCUUCAUGAUUAGACUAAUCAUCACACAAAAUUGAACAAAAUCACAUCCCAGCUGACAAUAAUUUUGUGUAAGCCGUAACUAAGUGUUGAUUUAUCUUCACUAGCUUAUAAGACAGUUCAGGAUUGAUAGCCUCCUUGUAACUGUCUACAUCACAAAUUUAAAGAGAAACAUCCAACAAAGUGAUAGUAAAUGGCUCAAUCAUGAAUCGGAGAAAAACAUGACAAAUCAAUAAGACAGCUGAUUUGUUGGCUUCUUCUAUCGAGACAAAUCACCUAUAAUAACAUCUGAGCUCUGACAUGCCACCUAAGAAGUUUUCAAGAUUGAACAUGACAGACCAUAAUGGGUAUAUGGAUCAGGACCCAUCAUUCAAAUUAAGCAAGAUAGACAUGCCUCAACCAAUGACACCUCUAAGAUGAUGUACAUAUUCUAAUUAGUGCGAUCAAUGUGAUUCACUCUUGCGCGAUCAACAAUACAUGAAUUGAUUAAAAAAUUAGUUACUCAGUAGUCAGUUGGUGGUUACCUGCAAAGGGGAACCUGGCAAUCGUUUGGUUGGUCACAAAUGGAUGCGUGUAAUCUUAGGAUCUGCCACAUGCGCUUGCAUCGCAAACAACCUCCAUUGGUCCUUCUCUUACAAGUAGCAAAAUGUCGAAUCAGAAACUGAAGCCCUUGGCAGGUAUCAAACUUGCUACAUGGCUGCCUCUUGAUGGAAGGUUCUUUAUCUAAUGGCCCCACACUAGUACAUCCUUCAGUGCAAAUGUGCUCCAAACAAUCCAUCGCUUCGCUUAGCUGUAAAUACAAGCUCCGCUCUAGUUUGUGUCUCCUUGUCCUCUUCUUCCGCUAUAAUGAGAAAUUUACAAUGUAAAAUCACUAACCACAGCCAUUUGACUGAUAAAGGAGAUGCAAACAAAUGCCAUGUAAUGAUUUCAUGGCAAGCUUAUUAUCUGUCAUGAUCAAUUUGACAACAAUAAAAAUUAUAACAUGAAUUCCAAGAGAAAUUCUUUUAUUAAAUAAGGGAUGUAUGAUAUAUGUCAAUUACGUUAUAAUUACGUACCAACUCAGCCUCAUCCAUGAACUGUAGAAUUUCAAGUUCAAGCCAGGGAUCAUGAUGUUGAAGGAAUUUCCAGCCCUCAGUCUCCUCAACUUUCUUGAAAUUACUAGACAAAAAUUUCAUACUCUUAAGAUAUAGAUCUGGUGCAUCACAUAGUCUCGCAAGUUGAAGCAAAUCCACAGCAUUCUCAAUCGUCAAUCGCUCGGCCAACCCCUUUGUGCAUCUCUGUUUCAGCUGCGGUACCAAGUACACAUGAGAAAGUGCUAGCAGAUGGAUCCCAUGUCUCUUCAUCUGCUCUUCAGUGCACCUAAAUACAAUGACAAUUUGGUCACUCUAAGCAUUCUUUCUAGCAAGGAUUUAACUGAUUAAAAGUUUCUUAUAUUUUAAUUAGCUUUUAGACCAUAUGAGAGUAAGUAACAUGCUACAAAUGAGUCAACAAUAUUGGUUGUUUAACGAUCAUAAAUAACCUAAAUCCUUUUGUAAUUCAUUUCAAUGACAACGAAGAUGUCGGUCGAGGCAUCUAGCAGGCGGCCAACACAAUAUGAAGCAAUCAAAACAUCAAAUAGUAUAUGAUUAAAGAAUUUACAAGUCAAUGAAUGAACCACACGUAAGCAAUUAAGUAAUAGGCAUGCAGAUUAGUUUUUGAAUAUCAACCACCUAUUCUCUGAUCAACGAAGGAACCGAGACUUCACCCUAAAAUAAUCUACUUAUUGUGGUCAAAUUCCAGCUUGGAUGGAACCAAUUAGAUUCGAGUUUCAAAACAAUUUACAAAUUAAGAAAAAUCAAAUAAUGAGUCUUUGAAUACCAACUACCUAUUUUCUAAUCAACGAAGCAACCGAGACUUAAUCCUAAAAUAAUCUACUUUAAAAUAAUUACUUCUCGCGGUCAAAUUCCAGCUUGAUGGAGCCAAUUAGAUUCGAAGUUUGAACACGGUUACCAAAUUAAUUAAAAAAUAAUAAUAAUUAAAAAAAACUAAACGGAUUUGCGUGUAUCUCGUGUACUCACUUGAAAGAAUAGAGAAACCGGAUAAACACGGAAACGGCGUCGCACGGCACGCCAAGAAUCCGAAUCGUUCUCUCGGAGCUCCGCCGCUUUCCCGGCCGAGCUAGUAUGUUCUCCAGAACCGUCGAAGCAGCAGCCUACAAAUACGUUUCUCAUAAAUCAGUACUUUUUUCUCAAAAUCAUUCGCAACUAAUAUCAAUUUUUCGAACAGCCAACACGGAGUUUUCACAGCGUGAAUUGAUUAUAAAUCAUUAAUACACUAGACUAACAUUAGAUUAACAUGCAAUUAAUAGAUUUAACGAGUAUUUAAGACUUCAUGUGGUUAGUUUUAGGUCUUCGUACCAGAACGGCGGAAUGUGCCGGAAUGCGGAGGCCGCCGGAGGUGACGAUUUGGAUAUCAACCUCAGACAUUUCGCCGGAAAAUUUAUCGAUACCGUCUGAAAAGUUAAGGGAUGACAUAGUGAUUACAGUUGCUUUUGGGAAUUUUCAGAGAGUUUAGUUUUUGAAGAAGGCAUUAACCCAACCCUCUCUAUUUAUAAGCAGCGCAGAGUUGCCAUUUGCCAACUCCAGAAAUGAAAGGGCGGCACGUGGAAGAUUCUUUUUUAGUACUCCAGAAAACAAUUAUUUGGGCAGGACAGGAAAUAAUAAAUAUUAAUAAUUUAAAUCGUUAAAUUAAUUGAGUUAUUAAAUUUUAUAAUAUGAAAGAGAACUUAGCGUCCAAAAAAGAAAUUACAAUGUAAAUUAUCUUGCGGAUUAAUAUUUUUCUAGAAUUUUUUAUAUAGUGAAAGUUUAAUGUUUUUGAUAUCCUUUUAUUUGAAAAUAGUAUAAAUCAAUCAUUAAUUUUUUAUUUGAUUUCUUUAAAUGAUUAAAUGUACUUAUAUAUUAUGUAAAUUGGACAAAAGGAAGUACUAAUGAAUGAUUAAAUUGACCCACGGAUGGCUCUACAAUGUUUAAAAAAAGAUAAAUGUCUUAGUCCCCAAAUCUAAGGGGCCUCAUUUUAUAUAAAAAUAGAUUAUAAGUAAUUAGUAUUUUUUUUAACAAAUAUUGAAUAUUAUUAUAGAAAAAGUGAACAUUUCAUGAAAAAUGAAGGGAUUGUUAGAAGAAAUUUGAAGUAUUAUAUCUUAUGAAAAAUAAUUAAAAAUAAAAAUGAUCAUAUGAAAACUAAAAGAAAUAAAUAUAUGCAUUGCAUGCCAUGAUGCAAUUUUUUUUUAUUUUUUUUUUUGUGUUCAUUAAGACCAAAUGCAUAAUAUUAUAAUAUUCUUACUUGAGGGAGAAAAUUCUAAUUAGAGCAAAGACUAAGGAAUAUUAUUCAAAGAAGAUGAAAUUCAUACGUUUUUUUGAUGGUUCCAGAAACUAAAAUAAAAAUUAAAUUAUACUAAUUACGUUUAAUAUAUCAUAUUAAUAAAAGUUGUACAUCACCAAGCGUCACAGCGGACGAUGUUGGUAGCCGCGUACGGCGUAGCCUGAUCAUACUAAUAUGCCAUUAAGUAAGUAUUUAAAAUUCAAAUUUAAAAAUUUCGAAUGAAUAUAAUUUUCUUAUUAUAAUUUAAAUUUACUAUUUAUAUUUACUAAUUUGCGGUAUGUUUGCACGUGUAUGUUGUGUUAGUGUGAAAAAUUGUAUUUAAAAAAAAUGACGUAUAUAAUAAUACGAAGGCAGGAAGAGUAAGGUACAAAUUUAAAUUUUAAUCAAUUCCUAAUAUUAAUAAUAUGAUAUAAUAUAACGAAUAGAAAAUUAAAUUAAAAAGAAAAUAAGAAAAAGGCAGGAAAAAAACAGACGGUUGUUGGCUACAUAAAUGUUGCUGGUCAUAAAUGUCCUCCCUAAUAAAAAGGCUGCUAUGAAGAUUGUUUAUAGUAUCCUAAAGCAGUGGCUGAGCUAAUAGGGACGAAGAAUUCAUUUAAAUCUCUUCGUCGAAAAAUUAUGUUAUUUUUAUAAAAUUAUAAUUAUAAUAUUAUUUUAAUAUUUUUAUAUAUCAAAUGUUAAAUUUUUUUAAGUUUAUUAUAUUUUACUUUUUUAUAUUUUAAAUCACUUAAAAAUAUCUCGACUACGACAAGAGGACAAAGGAUAAAAUAUCAGGCAAAGUUGUUACCUCUGAUGAUGGAAAUUAAACAACUUGUGGUUGAAAGUUGUUGAGCAUACCUAGACAAUAUUGUUGUUAUCUGAGGCAGUUCAUAUUCAGUCCUACUGUGCAAAUUUUAUUUUUAUAAUACACUUCUAACUGUUCUAUUAAAAUGUUCCAAAAGGCUAUCACUUUUUACGUAAUGGCUGCACUAUCCAAACCAUGAAGAUUAAUCAGACACCAAUUCAAAUAACAAUUUUUAAUAAUAAUAAAAAGUAGUAUGUCGGAGGAAACUAAUUUGGAUGUUUACUUUGCGGUAAAAGAUGUGAUUUAUACCUAAUUAAUUUACUACAUCAAAAAUAUUUUUAGUGGCUUUUAUGUUAGAGGUUUCAAGUUUGAAAUCUCGUACCAAUAAAAGUAAGGAAUUUAUCUUCUGUGUCGAGCUUGUCGCACCAGUCUUACCUAGUGUGAGUUACCUCUUCUAUGUGAUUUGAAAGCUAUUGCAUAGAAACAGACUUUUUUACCCGGUACGCAUUCAAAGAUUGUGAAUUUCCCUUGUUAUUAAAAAAAAAUAUAUAUAUUUGUACUCAUAAAAUCGAAUUAAUUGGACUAUAGAACGUAUCUUAGACGUUAGAUGGGAAUCGGUAAACCAAAACAAUCAACCGUCGAGAUUAAGCUUGGUUCCCUUCCUUUUUAGAUUAAUGAAAUCAAAAUACGUACUACUAAUUUUGAUCUUCAUUUUCAUUGUUAAUAUAAAAGCUCUGGAAAGUUGUAAACACUAUACAAAUUUCUUUUUGAUUAAUUAAAUUAUCUCCUUUUAGUAUUUAUAUGAUAGUUGAAAAAAUAAUAACAAAAGAAGAUGUAGUUCACCAGAAAAAAAAAACAUCUCACAAGAUGAGCAUUUCUUAAUUAUUACAAAAACAUUAAAGCACAACAAAUUGAUUACAGCAGGACUUAUGAAAGAUUGAUUCUGCCUAAUCGACAAUUUUCUUUUGGCUUCAUUUCUUUUUAGUUGUUAUAUCAUUUAAUUCUGAAAAAGGAAAGUAUAACAAAUAACUACUAACAUUGAAUUUUUUUAAUCUAAAAAUCGUCUUAUUUGAUGAUCCCUCAAGUUUAAUCUUGAUUCUUCUUCUUCUCUCUUUCUUUUAGGCAUAGAUAAAAAAGUCAUGGCCCUGGCUGACACCACCUUUCUAACAAGUGAUUUCCAUAGCUCAUCAUCUCCCCCUUUUUCCAAUUUCUGUUUCAAUUCUCUGUAAUAUAAAUAAAUUUUUUAAGAUACUCGUGAAUCGUAAUCAAUGAUAAACUACAACAAUAACAUACUCAAUGUUUAAUCGAAUCACAAGAGCAAGAAACUACUAGAACCGUGCUACUAUCAUAUAGACAAAAUAAUUGUGUUGGUUGGUACAAGAAAUUGACCAUACUGAUAGAAAAGGCAAACAACAUUAUACAAGCUUAGAUAUUUCUGUGACCCUAUCACUUUAUUCAAUCCAACGUGUUAAAAGAUUAUUAGGACAGUUUGAAGAUAUUUUCACUAGGAACAGGGGGAAAACAGAGAUUUUUCAACUAGAAAUAAAUGAUCCAAAUGAAUAUUUCAGAAAAAGGUUACACUAUUUUCUACGAUCUAGUCGAUAUAGAACCAACCGUGUGUCAAGUCAACUAUCACUACUUAGAUCAUGAUUGGGUCGCGCUCACAUCAAGAACUAUCUUGACUGUAAGUGGGCAAGAGAUCUUAAUUCCUCGUGAUAAUGUUUCAGCCACAUCACAAAUGUAUGUGCAUUGUAUAUAACCUUCCUACGUACUGACUAAAUCACAACUGCAAUGGCGGAAAAUGACAUAUAGGUACAAGUAAAUAUAGUGGUGGCCAUACCUGCAAAGAGGAACUCGACAAUCAUCAGGUUGGUCACAAAUCGAUGCGUGUAACCUUAGGAGCUGCCACAUUCGCUUGCAUUGUGAACAACUUCCCUUUACUCUUUUCUUACAAGUAGAGAAAUGUGUAAUCAAAAGCUGGAGACCUUGGCAUGUAUCAAACUUGCUACAUGGCAACUUCUUUUGGCAAGAGUACUCUUCGUCAUAUGGCCCUACGCUCGUACACCCUUCCCUGCAUAUAUGCUCCAAACAAUCCAUCCCUUCACUUAACUGUAAAUACAAGUUCUGCUCCCGCGUGUGUCUCCUCCUCCUCUUCUUCCGCUAAAACAACAAAUUUCCAAUGAAAACAUCACUGAAUGAUAAAUGACACAAAAAAACACAAUGAUAUAUUGGCAUUUCUACCUAAUACAUCAUAUCUUAGUUUUUCUGUUAGGAUUGAACUUAUAUACCUCUAUAGACUAAAUCUUAAUCUUAGAUGAUGUGAUAGUGUAAAAUUCCGUGCAACAUUAUGCACACUUUACAUUAGUCCUAUCAUAUAUACCACAAUCAAUUGAGGACCCUCAACAUUCUAUUGUGAGAUCCAUGAUCAAAAUUUUGGAUUGAACUUGAAACAAUGAGUCAGAUCAUAAAGGGGGUUAUAUUACGUACCAACUCGGCUUCAUCAGUGAACUGUAAAAUUUCAAGUUCAAGCAGGGGAUCAUGACGUUGAAGGAACUUCCAGCCUUCAGUUUUUUUAACUUUGCUGAAAUUACUCCGCAAAAAUUUCAUACAUUUGAGAUAGAGAUGAGGUGCAUCACAUAGCCUCGCGAGUUGAAUCAUGUCUAUGACGUUUUCAAUUGUCAAUUGCUCAGCCAAUGCUUUGGUGCAUCUGUGUUUUAGGCAUGGUACUAAGUACACAUGAGAAAGUGCUAGUAGAUGAAUACCAUGUUUCUCCAUCUGAUCUUUAGUACACCUAAUUUAGCACAACAAUAACAUAACCAUUUUAGACAUGAUCCAUAUUCUUCUAAAGCUCUUGGUUAUCAAAUUAUUUGAACAAUCGAAAGCAGUUUACUUACUAUACUUAUUGACAUUCAUAACAAAUCGAAACUCGGUUACGUAGACUGAUUGUUCGUCCACUUCAAACGCUCAAAACAGACCAUUUACCGUGUCAAAUGACAGGGAUUGGUUUGGUUACUUAGGGAAUCAUGCAGAUUUCCCAACAGCACCAAUAAAUAGUAAAAUACAAAUAAGAAUUAUGGCAUUCAAUCAGUCAAUGAAACCGGAACAGAGACAUGGUGUCAUUCUUAGAAUAACACCUAGCGUAAUAACGCUGAAGGAAAACUGUACAUUGUUUUAAAUACAAAGCAAUAUACAGAAAACCUGAACGUCGUUUCAGUUUCCGGCCGGAGGGGUUUAUUUGAAAAAAAAGGCCGGGGCGCAGGCUCCCGAAGAGAGAAGCCCAACGAAUGUCAGAUGCGGGCAUACAAUCCUAUUCUAUCCGAAUCCGAGUUUACCCCUUGCACUUUGGACAGCCGUCCAUAGCCACGCAGUUAAGAAGCUGAAAGAGAAGCUACCGGGCAUCCUCACUGACGCUCUAAUGAAUUAACCGUUAAUCCAUUCUAUUUAGCUGAUAAAAACGUUUUUUUAUAAAAAAUAAUAACUUGUAACACACUCCAAUAACAUAGGAAUACUUGGUCUUGUCGGUGCAUAGAAUAUUGAGGGAAAGUAAAUAUAUUAUUAAAGAUUCUUAUAGGCAAUGAAUGAGCCAUGUGUAAUAUAAUUUUAAGAAAUGGGCGGCAAAAUUUAAGCUUUGAGGAUAAAUCACCAACUCCUUGCCGUUAUAUUCAGCAUAUUAAAUUCCAAUUAGAACACUAAGUACACGCCUAACAUGUUAUGUUGGUAAGCUGUUGUAUCGUAUUAUAAAAUUCAUUCUUAGAUAAUGAGGAAAGCUCUAAUUCUAAAAUCAAUUUGGUUUAAUUAUAUUGUUACUUUUUCAUCAUUUCUCAUUUUCUCGUACUUACUAGCUAAUAAUCUUUAUUUGUUGUUUAUGUACUAGAUUUAUUCUUAAAUUGUUGACGUGUAAUAUUAUUUAAUCACAGUAAAAGAGUUAUUAAUCCAAAUAAUGCAUUCAUUGAAACAAUAAUACAUCCAUAUAACACUAUGAUACUAGUACAUAAUAAAAAGAGAGCGAAAUUUUCACAUAUAGCCACUUAAAAAUAGUUUAAUUAUUCUUUAUAGUUUGAUAAUUACAAUUCGUAACUACAUUUUACAUGUUUUAUGGAGAAGAGAGGCGAGUGAGACUGUGAGAGAAAGGAGAAAGGCUAGAGAGAGGGAGAAAAGAAUGGGAAAAAAGUGAAUUGUAUAUGUAUAUCGAUUAGAUAAUUUUAUAUUAUACGUAUGUAUUUAUAUAUAUGCAAAGGAGAUUAGGAGAGGGGGAGAUAGGCGAGCAAGAUUGGGAGAGGGAUGAGAGAGGCGAGCGAGAUUGAGAGAGGGAGGAGAGAGGCGAGUGAGAGAGGAUAGAGAGGUGAAUUGUAUAUGUACACAUGUUAAAUAAUUGUAUAUUAUACCUAUGUAUUUGGAUAUUCUGGCGAAUUAUACGUAUAUUAAGUGAUUAAUCAUACAAACUCAAAGUCAGCUCACGUAAUUAAUAUAUAAUGCUACUGGCAAUUGAUAAUUAUAGCAAACUAUAACUAUCAUGAAUAAUUAAACAAUACUAUAAAUUUGUUUACCCGCAUAAUUUUCUCUAAAAAGAAGAAAAUAUGUAGCAAUGAUUAUAGUAAAUAUAGAUUAAGAAAAAAGAAUAUGUAUUAUGAAACUCACUUGAAGGAAUAGAGAAAUUGUACGAACACGUAAACUGAGCCGCAGGGGACGCCCAGAAUCUGUAUCUUUUUCUCAAAACUCCGCUGUUGACAAACUAAUACGCUCUCCAGAACCGUCGAAGCAGCAGCCUAACAUAGUUUUAUUUUUCGUAGUGGAGAUCCAUCAGUAAUUUCCAAAUUGCAAAACAAAUAAAUUUUCGAAAACAAUUCGAUUAAUUCACAUUUGAAAGAUCUGAUCUUUACCAUGUUUAAAAUUAAAAUAAUUAACGAUUCAAAAAAUUAUUUGACUGAACAGUAACAUUUUCACGUAAAAUGAACCCGAGGGAAUAAGCGAUAGUAUGCAUGCAUACCAGAACGUUAGAAUGUGCCGGAAUGCGACGGCCGGCGGAGGUGAUGAUGUCAACAUCACUAGCAAACAUAUUCAUAGAUCUUUGGAGUUUAAUGAUAAUACAGAGAAUGCAAGCGUUAUCAAAAUAAUUAUAAUUUUUUUUUUUAACUAAAACAAAAGUAUUUUUGAGUUAGUAUUUUUGCUUUUAGAUUUUUGGUGGUAGAAUUUUGGGCGCAUAUCCCUGCAUUUAUAGGCAACGUGAGCUACGACUUAACAAAAAAAUAAAAGGGCGGCACAGAAUGAAAUCUCUACCACAAAAAUAAAUAAAUAAAUAAAAUGUGCCUAAUAAAGUAUGAGAUCUUCAAAUUCAUUGCAGCCGACCAGAUUAUCAUAAUUUUAUCAUUAUGACGUUAAUCUUCGCCUAAAUAUUCCUAAAUUUUAAAAUUAGCUUUCGCUCUAUUUUAUACGAGAUUAUUACUAAAAGUAGAUUGUACUUCCUACUAUUAUUUCAUAAAAUUAAUAUAUAACUAACAUUAUUUUUUUUAUUUUACUCUUGAAAGUUAUUAAAUUUGAAGUAUAAAUUUGAUAAACAUAAGAAAAUUAAAUAAUAAAUUCAUAUUCGUUAGUUAAUUUAAUUAGUCAAAAGAAAUUAUUUACAUUUUUAUUUAUGAAAAAUUAAUUUCAAGAGAAUAUUAAAUAAUAAAUUUAAAUUUUUGAAAAUAUGAAAUCUAAAAUAAUGACAUAAACGAAACUAUUAUUUCCUGCAACUAUACAAUAUGAAAUUAAUUUAGCGUGUAAGUGAACUAUUCCCUGUCUCAAAAUAAUGUUACUUUAGCAGAAAAUGCCCAAAAUUAAAGACAAAAAUAAAUUCUUCUUUUAUUUUUAAAUUUAUUUGACCUAUUUUUUAUUCCUUAAAUUGGGAGUACCCUAACAAUUGUUAUUUCACUAUCUAGGAUGUAAUAUACUCUCUGUAUAGUAGCGGUCAAGAAUAUUUUGUUCCUUUUUUAGUAAUUGUGUAAUUUUAAUUUUCACAUAACCUAAUUUUAGAUCCCAAAAUUUAUGAGUUUUUUAACUUUUUUUUUUUAAAAAAAACUUGUGUAAAAUCAAUACACAUCAAAUAAAUAGAAACAAAAAAAUAUAUUUUUCCAACUAUAUGUAUAUACCUUAUCUUUUUAAUAGUGUUUAAUUUUCGAAAAAAUAUUUAUCAAAAGAUUAUUUAAUAAACUACACAUUAUACUCAAUAAUUUUAUAAUAUAGACGUAAUUUUUGUUAUGAUAAUAUUUAUUUUAGGACAAACAUAUUAAUUAACGUUAACACAUAUCACAAUUGUUAGUUGUAUAUUGACUUUGUACAAAAAUAUGCUAUCAAACAAUAUAAUUUAAAGAGUGAAGUAUAUGGUCCAUUUAUCUAUUAUUUUUGUGUUCCUCUUGUUGUGCUUAUAUAUUAAAAAAAUAUUAUAUAUGAAAUUAAAAUCGAAAAAUAUUAAUUCAUUUAUGUUUGGUUCCACCAUUCUAGUAUGUUUUUAAAAUGAUAAAGAGACCACGUCGUCAAUAACAGGUAAGACCAAAUCUUGAGGAGGAAAAUAAAUUGUCCUUACACUAAUUACGUGUCAUCCUAAUCCAUCACUGAACCUAUUAGGUUCAAUAUUGGUAUUUAAGAUUCAUAUCGUAUAGGGCUUCAUUAUUUCGUAAAUAGUACUUUUUAUUAAGAAUUUUUUUUGUAUAUGAGGAUUAAAUUUGAAAUCUCUAAUUAAAUAAGAAAUAUUUUCAUUCACUGCAUAUAUUCGUUGAUGGUGAUGGAUAGUAUAUGUACACAGUGGCGAAGCCAUCUUAACAUCUUGGGAUUCAUUCGAACCUCCUUUCUCGAAAAACCAUAUUAUAUUUAUAUGGUUAAAUUUUUUUUUAUAUAUGUAUAGUAGAUGUUGAAUCCUCUUCGGCUUUUUCCUAUAUCUAUUUUUUUAGAUUUUGAACCCCUUUAUUAAAAAAUUUAGCUCUACCACUGUCUGUCUGUAUACAUAUACAUUUAUGACUAGUUUAUACGUAUAAAAUAAAUUAUAAUAUAUAUUCUUAUAAAAUACAAUUCACCAAAUACGAUUUUCAAUACAUGAGCUCUAAGCCUCUAAUUUUUUUUUUGUUUUAUUUUCCUUGGCUGUUAAUUGACCAAGACAUAAAAAGUAGCAUAUGAACUAAAUACUAAAGAAUUUAAACUUUGAAUUCUUCUCUAUUGCUUACCAACCAAUGGAUUUUAUGAAUUAAAAGCAUGAAGAAGUUCACCAUCAAUAUAUUUAUUUUCUGAUUUAGAAAUAAAAUAAAUAAAUUGUGGUGUUCACAGCAAACAUAAUUUAAUUUUAUAGUUAAAGGUCAUUAUCACGUGUGACUCUUUGUGUUCGUCUAAUAUUGUCACAUAUUUACUCAAAUUUUAAUACGAAUUUCAGAUAUUAAAUAAAAAAUAAAAUACUAUAAUAGAUAUUUUCACGUGGAUUUUUCCUCUCUUUAUUUGUUUUCAAGGUUAAAUUGAAUUUAUUAUUUUUUUAAAUUUUAGAGUAACUUCUUUGGAAGGAUAUUUUUAAAUUAUUUUACAAGUUUGAAAGACAUUUUUGAGCCCCAACCAUAGAUUAUAUAAAAAAAAGUCAAUGCAUGAAAAAUAUUUUUUGGCGGUGGAAGGGAUAUUCUUUUCUUUUUCUGGCUGGAUAUGAAUUUUACGAUAUGUUUCGUGUUGCCCCAUUUUGAAGUAAAAUAUUCCUUAUCUUCCAAGUUUGUAUUUUUAAUUAAUAGUCAAAAAUAAAGAAUUGUUGUUUAAAAAAAUAGUUGUAAAAUAUAGGAAAUAAUAUAAUAAACUAGUUUUGAUAGUAUUCAUUGUCUUAAAGAAUUUAAGCCUUCUGUUAUAACUGCAACAAUUGUGAUAUAAUUUUGAUAUAAUUUCUAUAAAGCUAACAAAAUUCGAAUUUUAAAAAUUAACUUAAAUUCUUUCAUUAGAAUAAAGUUUAUGAAUAAUAUAUAUAUAUAUAUAUAUAUAUAUAUAUAUAACAAAGGAGGUUCUUCUAAACCUUUUCGUACAUCCUUUUCAGUAUAUUUGUCAAGAGUAUUAAUGUAAAUGAUUAAAAUCUUUUUAAAGAAAUUAAUUAAUACAUAUUAUUUUUAAUAUAUCAAAUUAAGCAGUGGAUAAAAAAUAAUCUCACUAUUAUUGAUACAUGAUGUUCAUAUUAUUCUUUUACACCAUAUCUAAUGACUUCAUUGUAACUCCCACGUCAAACAAUCAAUGGGAUAAAAAUAAUUUGAUAUAUUUAUAGGGAAUAUUAUAUGGUUAAAUCAAUAUAUCGUAUUUAAUUAGUCACCAUGGUAUCACUCGCGAUCAACAUCUAGUGAUAGUUAUGUGGAUUGAGUUUUCAAAUUUGUAUAUUUUGCACUUUUGUAUAACUCAGAAUUUGUAUAGCUUUUGUAUAAUGUAAUCUCAUAUAUAAAUUCUUAAAGUUUAGAUAUUUGUGUAUAUAUAAAUUAAUUAUUUAAAAUUUAUAUAAAAAUAACCUAAUUAUAUAAAUCUGUUAAUUAUACAAAUAAAACAGCUUUAAUUGUAGCUACAAAUGUAAACUAUGACUACGAAUUGAAGCAUAAUUAACUAUUUUGGGAAAAAUUCCUAUAUGGACCAAUGUUGAUUAGAUGAAGCCUGAAGGUAAUACUAGCCCGUUUCAGUUUGGGCUGCCUUUAUACGACCCAUUAAAUUAUGUGCAGAGUAUUAUUUGACAAAAUUAGGACAUGAAACAUGAGUCAAUCAAUCCGCUUAAAAUUGGGCAAAGGACAAUAAUCACAUAUUUUUAAGGUAAAAUUAUUAUUUGUCUCUUAUAAGUUUAUAAUUACAAAAAUUCCUCAAACUGAUACAAUGAUAUACGCGUUUAUAUAUUAAUCUGAUGCGCGAGAUACAUUAAUCGCUAAGUAAGAUAUAUUACAUUUUAUAAAUGAUACACUAAUCAAAUGUACAUUUUAUACAUGAUACACUAAUCUGAUGCGCGAGAUACAUUAAUCUGAUGCGCGAGAUUCAUUAAUUUAAUGCGCUGAUACAUUAAUUUGAUGCGUGAAAAUGAGGAAUUUUGGAAAUUUUGUCAUUUAUCCUCAACUCAAGUAACCCUCAUUUGUCCGUUAUAAGUUAAUAAUUACAAAAAUCUUUUAAACUGAUACAAUGAUAUUAGCGCUGAUACAUUAAUCUGAUGUGCGAGAUACAUUAAUCGUUAAGUAAGAUAUAUUACAUUUUAUACAUGAUACACUAAUCGAAUGUAAAUUUUAUACAUGAUACACUAGUCUGAUGCGUGAUAUACAUUAAUUUAAGGCGCGAGAUAUAUUAAAAUUGAUGUAUUUGUUACAUUAUUUUGAUGCGUGAAAAUAUGAAAUUUUAAAAUUUUGUAAAACUAGUUAGAGAAAAUGGUAAAGUAAAAACUUAAUGAUGGUAUUUCUAUCAUUUAUCCUUUUUAAAUUUAGAUCAUCUUGACUCAAUCACUCAAAGUAAUCAACCCAUCCUCUCUCCCCACCCCCUCACAAAGUCAACCUAAACCUUUCAUUUGCACAACAACUUCUAACUUGCUCAUUGUAUGAAAUUCCAUGUGACCAUAAAACUAUGGAAUAAAAUAUAACCUUCAAUGGUAAUUCUUUGACAUAUCUUUUAACUAUUUUCAAUGAUUUCCACUAUUUUAAAGUAGAUUUCAAAUAAAUAGUUUUAUUUUAAUUUUUAUAAAAAAAAUUCCAUGUCAAAUUCAAGGUCAAAUAGUUUAUCAAACGUGAAUUAUUGAACUCUCGUAAAUUCAAAUCAUAUCACAUAAAUCAAGACAGAGUAUUGAUAUCCAUCCAAACCAAACAAAUGCUAAAAAAGAACUCAUUAAGAAGUAAUACACACUCCCCUUCCCCUAGGCCCCCACCCCCUACCAGACCACUCAACAGAAUGAGGAAAACACUAGAUAGUUCUUUUAUUCUGUUUUGUCAAGGGUGCUACAUAAAGUAAUAACUAUUUCACUUGGAGACUAAUGAAAACUAACAAAGCAAAUUAUAGUUGGGUUGCUUCUCUAUAAAGGGUAAAUAAAUUGAGACAAAUGAUAAAGAUACUUCCCCUAAGCUUUACAUGCGUGACGUAUAUUAAAAAAAAAACAAAAAACUUCAACAUGAAAAAAAAAAAAUUGAAAUGAAUUAAGGUAUAUAAUUUCUUUACAAAGCAUAUAUAUUGGAAAACUAAAUAAGUUUGCAACAUAAAGUAAACGAUUUAAUUAAUUUGUCAAUGUUUAGUGCUACUACAAUAUAGUUGGGUAAUAUUCUUGUUACAAAUAAAACAAUAACAAAUUAAUGGCAGAGCGAUCUUCUGAGUUAUUAUCUCAAAUCAAAUAUAUGACAACAUUCGACUAAAAGAAAAUGAUAAUGGUAAUUAUUUUAAUUUCCAUCUAGAAAUGCAUACUCAAAAGCUAAACUAUCAAUAUGAAAUAGUCUUCCCAAAGAAGAAUCUCCCUAAAAAAUGUAACAUAAUAUACCCUACCUAGUUUGUUCAAUUAAUUAAUUAAUCCAAAUUCUUUGUUUAUUUCUCUUUAUAAUCCCCUUCUAUUUCCCCUUGAUUCUAAAACCCCACUUCAAACACUAAACCACAUUGAGAAAACAUACACAUAACACAACACAACACAACACAUAUGGCCACCUCCUCUAUUUCUCUCAUUUUCCUCUUGUCCUUUCUACUUUUAAUCCCUUCACUCCUUGCCUCUUCUCCUUUACAAAAUCAUCAAUAUGUUGUUGAUCAAGUAGAUAGGUAUGUUUUUGGCACACAUGCAUGCCCUUGCUAUUGUUAUUUUUAUUUGAUGUUCUGAACCUACGUAGGAAUCGUUAACUAAAUCUAGAUAAUUAACACACAGCAAGACUCUCUACUAUUAACUACUUUUUCCUAGUGAUUCGUUUAAAAAAGAAUAAUCAAAUGCUCUUGUAUAUUUUUUACUUGAUUUCAAAUUUCUUAUUCUUCUCUUAAUUAAUAACAUAUUUUUAUAUUUUGAAAUCACACCAUUUACAAAAAUAUUUUCUUUCUUAUAAACUACACAUCUAUAAAUUAAACACUUUCACAUAAAUUGAACGGAUACAAAAUAUCCUAAGUAUCUUACCAUUAUUUCCCAACAUUUUUAAAAAAAUAUCUCUUUUAAUACAUGAUAUGACUUCGACCCCAAUAUAUUUAUAUAUAACUAGUACAUUAGGAAACCUAUUUAAUAAAGUUAAAAUUCUGACUCUACGAGUUUGAAUUUUUCUUUUUUUUCUUUAUAGGAGCAUAAAUGUGUCAAGGAGGAACUUAGGGUAUUUGUCUUGUGGGACAGGAAACCCUAUAGAUGACUGUUGGCGUUGUGACCCAAACUGGGAGAAAAAUCGUCAAAGGCUAGCUAAUUGUGCUAUUGGUUUUGGAAAAAAUGCCAUUGGUGGUAGGGAUGGAAAAAUUUACGUCGUUACCAAUUCUGGUAACGACGAUCCUGUUAACCCUAAACCGGGGACUCUCCGGUACGGGGUUAUUCAAGAUGAGCCAUUAUGGAUUAUUUUUGCUAGCGAUAUGGUCAUUCAACUAAAAGAAGAACUCAUUAUGAACUCUUUCAAGACUAUUGAUGGAAGAGGAGCUAACGUUCACAUUGCAGGUGAAAAUUAUUAGAUAUAUUUCAAUACUAAUGUUUCGAUAAAAUAUUAAAUUCUAAAUUCAUAAUUUCAGAUGUUUAGUUAGUUUGUCUUUUAUCAUAUUUGAAAAAAAUAUUUGCAUUGGAGUAUGUGUUAAAAAUGUCUUUAAACCAACCAUUUUUUUCGUCUGUGCUUUUUUGGUGAUAUAUUUUUUUUUUAAAUGUUAAACAUCUAGAUUUAUAUCUAAAUUAUUGAGAGUAUGAGACAUACACAUAAACUAUCACUUUGGAGAAAAAAAUUGAAAUUGUUAGUUAUGCGUUGCCACUUUUUGCCACAAUGGAAUUGUUUUCCACGUGGUAAUUCAUGUCACAAGCUUAUAAAUAAUUAUUUAAGGGGUAAUUGAGGUGUAUUUCUCAAAUUUAUAAAUAAUUAUUUAAGGAAUAACGCUAAAUGGCUUGAAAAUUUGUCCCAAAAAUUUAAAAAGACUAUAAUAUCAUUUUUAUUUUAAAGUAAACCGAUCUUUUUGUAUUUUUUUAAUUAAAAGAUCAUUAAAAUUAAAAGGAUAAAAAUAUUUAAAAAGAUAAAAUAACAUAGUGUGAAAUAUAUUAUUUUAUCAUUCUGACCAAACUUUAAGCGUGCGAUUCAAAAAAAGCGAAUAAUUAAUUAUAUGUAUUUGAUAUUUCACUUUAAACACAAAUAAAGAAUUUAAAUCAAAAUUAUUUAAAUUUUAUCGAAUUUGCAACCACCAUGUAAUGACUUUUGCCCUGCUUCUACCAACAUUAAUUAGCGUAACAAUUUAUGGUUGGCCAAGAUUCUAGCUAUUUGUUACUCCUAAAUACUUAUACUAUCAAAAUUUCUCACACGAUAAAAGUUUGAUUAAACAGACUAUUAUAUAAAUUAUGAAUUUGAUAUUUUUUUCAGGUGGACCAUGCAUAACAAUACAAUAUGUGAGCAAUGUUAUCAUCCAUGGAAUUCACAUACAUGAUUGUAAGCAAGGUGGGAAUGCUAUGGUGAGGAGCACCCCACAACACUAUGGGUGGAGAACUAUAUCAGAUGGUGAUGGUGUGUCCAUUUUUGGUGGGAGUGACAUUUGGAUAGAUCAUUGUUCUUUGUCUAAUUGUGUUGAUGGUUUGAUUGAUGCUAUAAUGGGGUCCACAUCAAUUACAUAUCUAACAAUUACAUGACUAAUCAUGAUAAAGUGAUGUUAUUGGGACAUAGUGAUUCCCAUGUCCAAGACAAGAACAUGCAAGUAACCAUUGCCUUCAAUCACUUUGGAGAAGGCCUUGUCCAAAGAAUCCCAAGGUAAACAUAGUAUAAUUUAUACAUGUUAGAUUAAAUGAUGGGUGUGUUAGGCCAAAGUAACUACACUAUAACAAAAACAGUUUUCAGCGAUAAUAAUAAAUAUGUAUAGUAACAAAGAGUGUUGUAGCAUUACUGAUAUUAGUUAAUUAUCAUUGAAUUCUAUAUUACCGUAAAUUUACGUACAUUUAUAAAAAAUGUUGAUUGUCUUAAAAAUAUAUAUUUUGCGACAAUUAAAUUACUGCUAUUAAUUAAUUAUCACUAAAAAAUAUUUUUGAUGAUAUUAUAUAUAUAUACACGCACACACACCAAAAUUUGGUCUAGUACAUUUCAACUAACACAUAAAAUCAGUUGAGAAUUACAUUCUUUCUCAAUAAGAUAAUCUAUAGUCAGCCACACAAGUAUUUAUGAUUUAUUUUAAAUCACAAGUUUUAAAAAGAAUCUUUAUCAUUCUUAAAUCUGUUUAUAAAACGAAAUUCAAACAUAAUCACAUAAAUGAAACUAGAGAUGUAGGAUGUAACAUGUUUGGCUAUACUUCUGAAAAGUCAAAAGGCUUUUUUUUUCUUCAGAAAAUUGAAAUGUUUGACUAAGUUUUUAGGUAUACAUAAAAAAAAUCUUAGAAGACUUUUGAAAUCUUGACCAAUUAAAUUAAAAACUUCUAACAAAAUCAAAGUUUUAAUUAAAAUAAACAAAUUAUGAAAAUUUAGUGAACUAUAUGUUAUAUGAUUUGAUAAAAAUUGUUGGGUUAAUAUUUGAAAUUGAUGCAGAUGUAGACAUGGUUAUUUUCAUGUGGUGAACAAUGACUAUACUCACUGGGAAAUGUAUGCAAUUGGUGGUAGUGCUAAUCCCACUAUCAAUAGCCAGGGCAAUAGAUUCCUUGCUUCUGAUAUUAGAUUCAGCAAAGAGGUACAUUGUUAUUAUUAAUUUAUUCGCACACAUAUAUUAUAAUCUUUUGCUUAACUAGAUCGUAAAUUAAAUUUAAAAUUCAUGUAUAGGUGACGAAGCAUGAAAAUGCACCAGAAAGUGAAUGGAAAAAUUGGAAUUGGAGGAGUGAUGGUGACUUAAUGUUAAAUGGUGCAUUUUUUGUAAAAUCAGGAGCUGGAGCCUCUUCAAAUUAUGCUAAGGCUUCGAGUUUGAGUGCAAAGUCUUCUUCACUAAUAAGCUCCCUUGUGUCCGGAGCCGGUGCCCUGAGUUGUUGGAAAGGUUCUCGUUGCUAGCUGAUUAAAGUGUUUUCUAACAAAGACGAAAAAAUAUUACUUUUAUGAAAAAAAAAAAGGAAGGACUUUAUUUGAAGGGGGGAAAAGACAGGAACUCUAUUGUGUAACUUUUUUGGUUUUUGGCAUCUUUGUGUUUAUGCCUUUUUGACUUUUGAUUAUUAAAUACAACCUCUGUAGAGUACUCCAGAAGUGUUGAUUUAAUUACUUCAAUAUAAUUAAAUGUAUUGCUAUAAAUUUGAUUCUCGUGAAUGUUUUUUAUCUUUCCCUCUCAUUAUAUUGUUUCAUAUACAUGGGACAAAAAGGUUAAAAGGAUAAAAAAAUUUGGUUUCAAUCGAUAUAUAUAAUAAAGGAGAGUAAUUUAGGUUAAGUCGAGUGACAAAUGAAAAACCACUUGACAUAUAGAAUUGGUUAUUAAGAGUUGUGGAGGGAGGAGAUAUAAGUAUAUUUAUGGUAGUCAGAAUUUUGUUAGAUAAUAUAAUUUAAUAUGUUUAAAUAAUAUUUUAAUAUUAUCCGUCCAUCGCACAAAUUGAUAUACUAAUGAAUAUAUUAAUGAAGACAAAUGUAAAGAUUCAAAGCAAUAUCAACCAAAACCAUACAAAGUGAUAGAGCCAUUUCAACUACCAAUAUUCAUCAAGCCAAUGGGCAUGAAUCCUAGCAAUUUGAGGAUUAUUGCAUUUGCAGGCCAUAUUGUCCUUAGUAAUAUGCACCAUAUAAUUAAAAAAAACAUGUUAGUAAUCUAAUAACCUUCCAAUGAUGUCACUAAUUAACAAUAGGAUUAUGAUAAUUAAUUAAUCUCCCACUCUUUAAACGAAAGGGGAUUAAAUUAUUUAAUUUAAAAACUUCUUAUCAUGUAGUAGCUAUUAAUUAAGGCAUAGUAGUAUUCAAGUAUAAUGACAAAACCGUCGUACAUUCCUCAAUUUUUGCUCUUUUUUUUUUGUUGUUGUAAGUUGUAACUACUAUGUCAUUUCAAUUGUCCAAAGUUUUUAAUUUCUUCUUUUAAUUGAGAAAAAUAAUUUUUUUUGGAAGUUUUGGAAUAGUAAAAUGCUUAAGAAAUCACUCCUUAAGUCUAACAAUGCUACAAGUUAGUAAGAGUAUCUGAUUUGAAAAUUUUAUCAUAUAUACUCCCUGUGUCCACUUUGAUUUGACAUAUUGAGCUAUUCGAAAGUCAAAUUUGAUUAAUCUUUAAAGUUAAAUUAAAUUAUAUAAUAAUUAAAUAUUUUUUUUAGAAAAAAUUAGAUAUUCAAAAACCAUACAAAAAGUAGUAUAAAUUGUAAUUUUUUUGUAUAUCAAUAUGAUAAAAAUAUAUAUCGUAAAAUAUUAAUCAAAAUUCUUAUAGUUUGACUUUAAAAAAAGAACAAUAAUGGUGUAAGGAUAGACUAUAUUCUUUAACUCUUUAAAAGUUUUUAAAAUGAUUUUUUUUUUUAUAAAAACGCAAUGAUUUUCGUUUUCCUAUUCAAUUAUGAGAGACAAAGUUUGCUUUGAGCAAUUUUUCAUCAUAAAAGUAAACUACUUUAAUUAUCAAAAUGGGAAGGAAGUAAUUGAACGGCCUCUAUUUAUCAAAUUGGAAUAUCAAAUUUUACUUUAAUACUUUUUUCAAAUUCUCUUCCUUAAUUGAAGCAAACAGUGGUCAAAUAUAAUUACAAUUUACAGUGAUUUGAUAUAAUUAUAGUGUUCUUAGCCCCUGGAACUUAUAUGAUUUAGAGCCUGUUUGGCUCAGCUUAAAAGCUGAUCAAACUGACUUAAAAGCUGGUUUUUGACUUAUUUAACUGUUUGGCAAUACUCAAAAUAGCUUAUUUUAAGUUAAAAAAAACUUAUUUUAAGCCAAAAGUUAAAAACUGGGGUAAGAGUAUUUUUUUUUUAGCUUAUAAGCUGUUUUAAGUUGACCACAUUUUUAUGUUUUUUCCCUUAAUAUUUUUAUACAAUCUCCAAAUUACCCAUAUAACCCUAACAUCUCUUUCUUCUAUUUUUCCCUUUUCACGUUUGGCAUAACAACUUCAGCACUUUUAUCCAAACUCAUAACUGCUUAUUUUAAAAAUAAGUUUCAGUACUUUCAAAAGUACUUUUUAAAGCUGUUUUUAUUAAGCCCAUCCAAACGACCCUUAAUCAUGUGAAAGACAAUCACAAAAAAAGAAAAAAUAUUGACCUAACUGGAAUUUUAGUUACUAGUGAUGAGAGUCAAUUGUUUUUUACUUUUUAGGGACACAAUAAUUUCUAUGGUUGAAAUUUCUCAGUCCCUGCCUUUUAUAAUGUGACAUACUUUUUAAAGAAAAUUUUAGUUAAGAGUGAUAUUUUUACUAAAUUAUAAAGAAGAUCCUUUUUAUUUUAUAAUUGGAACAAAUAAGUUGAAAUAAUUCUUUUUAAUUAUUUAUGUAUUAGUUAUUUUUUUCUAUCAUGCAUAAAAUACUAUGCCAAAUUUCUAUAAAAAAACAUAUGUAAUACGUAAUUAUAAAUCAUAUGUUGAAUUAAUUUUAUUCUGGAAUAACUCACAUCCUAACCAACUAUCGAACAUGAUAUUAUUUAUGCAGAAUAUACUAUGCCAAAUUUCUAUAUAAAAAACAUAUGUAGUUUAAAUCAAAUGUUAUUAAGAAAUAACUCACAUCCUAACCAACUACCGAACAUGAUAUUAUUUAUGCAGAAUAUACUAUGCCAAAUUUCUAUAUAAAACAUAUGUAGUACCUAGUCACGAAGGUUUGAUUUUAUAAAUUGUAAAUCAAAUGUUGUAUUAAUUUUAUUCAAAAAUAACUCACAUCCUAAUCAACUACCAAACAUGAUAUUACUUUAUGCAUAAUUUAAUAUGUGCAUAACUAAUCACCUUCAAAUCAACUACCAAACACGAUAUUACUUAUAAAGAAUUUAACAUUUACAUAACUGAUCACUUCCGAACCAGGUACCAAACAACUCCAAACAUGUUAUAUAAUUAGGCUUAAUCUCCUUCACAUAUUUUCAUGACAUUAGCACAUCAUUUCUUCUUCUUCUAGAAAUCAAGUUUUCAUGUGCUUAAAAAUUGGGUCCAACCUAACUAAUUAAUUAGGUAUCUUCAAGUACCUAAAAAUGUCUUCAAUCAAAUUAUCAUAUUUUUGGGCCGCAAACCUCGCCGUAACUCCACACCCAAGAGCAAGAGAAGUGAUGCUUUGAAGCACCACGCUUCACAUUAUUGUCAUUCGAUCAACUUGUCAACAUGAUAAAUUGCCAACACAAAGGUCCCAAUUGGAGAGGUUACAGAAGCGACGGGUAUAACACGAAUCAGUUGAACUCAAUAUUUUUUACUACAUAAUUUAUAUAAAUAUGAAAAUUAUUAAACCUACCUCAAAUUUUGCAUUUUGAAUUCAAAUUUGCAAAUGCACCACGUUAUAUAUGAAUCACAUGUGCAUGUUUUUGUGGAUUCAAUAUUCACACACUAAUCCUCGUAGGUACUCGUGAUAGGCCGGCUAAGCAUAUCCGAAAUUAAUAUAAUCAUAAUAAUACGUUGAAUGAAUAUCAAGUGAUUGAUAUUAUCUCUUUAAAUCAAAAUAUUUUAUUUACAAAAAGCGUAUCAAUUAAAUUUUGAUCAAUCAAGCACACAAACAUGUAAAUAUAUUUUAAUAAUUUAAUUUACACUCAAUAAUUAUCAUAAAAAGGGAAGUGAUUCAUCCUUAAUAUCGACUUAAUUUAAAUGUUAAUCUUUUUUAAUUAACUAGGAUAUGGAGUUGUGCUUUUCUUUAAGUUGAAAGAUGAAUUUUCACAAGGAAAUAAUUUGAUUCCAUGAAAGAAUUGUGGAUUCUCUAGUUUGUUCAAUUAAGGAUGUAUAAAUUAUAUACAUUACCAAUAAUUUGUUUAGAUCUAAUGAACACAUUGUCAUGACCCCUCUUAUUGAAAAGCCACAUAACAAACCUCAACCUCUUAAUUAAUUAGUGUGUAAACUAAAUUAAGUAUAAUUAAUUGUAGUUAAUUGUCCAUAAUAGGUGAAAUUAGAUAGGUAUAAAAGAUAGAUUAUACAUAAUCUGAUAAAAAGAUUAAAUUAUAGUAAUAUAAAAAUUAUUUUUAUUUUAUUAACAUACGAUUAUAACUAAAAUAAAUAUAUAAACAUACGUAAAAAUCACUUCUACAUAGCAAAUAACAUGCCCUACUUUUAAGAUUGAGACAUGUUGGUGAAAUUACAAUUAGGCUCUCUUUCAAGUUUCUACCGAUGUCAUAAUCACAAUAAUUAAUGCAAUUGAAUUUCAGAUAAAUUACAGGGUCAAAUUGAAUCUCAGAUAAAAGAUUAGGUACCAAAAUAUAUAAUAGAUUAACAUAGUGAGCAAAAUGGAUUUAGACAAAACCUCAGGGACCAAAAGUUAAACAUUCCAAAGAGGAACCUUUUCAGCGGAAGAUUUUUCGUUCGGCGUCCAAAAUGUCAGAAAUUCCGGCGUCCAACUCCGUUAAAAUUCCUUCAAUGAAGUCAGAAUCUCUCGUCGUUGACAGGAACUCCGGCUCCGUGAGGUUACAGCCACCACUUCAGUAUCAGCCGUCGAAAAUCGUUUUGGCUGACCUCAACGUUGACCCUCCUGAUUCCGACGGCAAUGAUUCAGUACCCGUAGCUGCUGUGUCUCCUAUAUGUUUAUCCAGGUUCUACUUGAUACUUUUAUGAAAUAAAAAAGAACAAAUGAAAGAAGAAACUUGAAUUGUUUAGAGUUUUCGGAUUUUUUUUUUCAUUUGAAUGAGGCUAGGCUUGAUUCCACACUCUUUGAUUCACCAACUAAUAAGAGUGGCAUUCCUUUUGGGAAGGAAUUAGUUGUAAGUGAAGAUGAAUCUAUAUCGUAUUGUUAGAGCUGUUAUUAAAAAUUCAGUUGGCUGCCAUGAAACAUGUGAGAAAUACCAACAACAACAACAUAGCUAAUGUAAUCCCACCAAUGGGGUCUGUGGGGGUUAGAAUGUAUGCACCUUACCCCUAACUAUGUGGGAGUAGAGAGACUGUAUUUGGUAGACACUCGGCUAAAAAAAUAAAUAAUCUAAGCAUGAUUGCGAGAAAAAUAUGAGAACAAAAUAGCAAGAUACAAAACAAAUGAAGCAACAAAUAGUAAUACAAAUUGAAGAAUAAGAGACUACGUCAUUACUAGAUAAUACCGCUAAUAAAGAGAAGAGGAAAGGAGGAGGCUAGCCCCCCCACAUCUCCCACGUUAAAUGUGAUAACACUCGGCUACUUACUAACCUUCUACUCUAAUCCUCGACCUCCAAACCUUCCUACAUGUCCUCAAUAAGUUCAAGUUGUGCAUGUCCUAUCUAAUCACCUUUCCAAGUUCUUUCUCGGCCCACCUCUGCCUAUAGAAAAUAAAUCUCGGAAAAGGAGUUCAUAUAACGGCAGAGGUAAUUCACCUCGAUCUGAUGCUUUGUUGUUUAGCUUUAUUAUGUUGAUAUUAUUGCUGGGACAAGAAUAAUUUAUUACUUUAACCUGGGUCUGAUAUAUUUGCAGGGUAAUAGCUGAUGAAAUUUGUCAGGAUAAGCUGAAGAAAGACAUAGAGAUUGCAGAAACAGAAGGUAAACAAUUGAAAAAAUUGGGAAAAUGCCGUUCAAGAAUGGGUAAGUUAGAAUGUCCUCCUGAUUGUAAUGGAGCUGAUGCAGAGGCUGAUCAUAAUGUUCAUGGGGUCCCUUCAUCUCGGGAAGAAAAAGUUAGCAGUCUUAAAACUGUGAGUUGUAUUUUGAUCCAUUUAUAUUUGCUAUAUUGAUAGUUGGACAAGGUUGACAGGAAAUUUUGCAUGAACUCGAGUUCAUUUAUAUGCACAACUUGUACAUAUUUCUUGAGACCAACUUGGUGUUUCAUGAUGAAUAUUUUGACUUAUGUUUGUCUUUUGUUACCUAGAUUUGUGUCUGUAUCUAUGUUUAUAUGAGAGCUAAUCCUUUUAACUGUUUUCCAUAUCAUAUUUUUUCAUCACUUGAAUUGAAUGCAGUGUUUUCAAAUGCAAAAAGUGGGAAAGCAACAAAAUCCACGGGACUUGAAACGACCAAUGAGGACUGAAGCAUAUAAUUAAUUGAAAUGUUAAAAUACCAAAAUAUGAAUUUAGUAUUACAAUAAUUAACUUGUAAUUAAAAUAACUAUUUUCAGUAUUAAUAUAUUAUACUGUCUAUAUUCAACACAAGGGGUAAUUCGCUGAUUGUGAUUUCCCUCAGAUGAUUUGUAACUAUUUGCUGGAAGUUGAAUAAUAUACUUCCUAUGCUUUUAACCUAAAAAAAACACAAAGGUGGAAUUUCUUUCUUCGAAGGAAUGUAAAUGGUUGGGAAGUAGAACGAGUACGUCUUUUGCUUCAGCUGCUGAGGAACAUAGCUUUGGACGGCAACAGAACUGAUUCUACUAGAUGCAAGGGGCAUCCCAAAGUUCUAAGAGAGUUCUUCUUGAUUGUGCUUCACCUUGUGCCAGUUUAAUCUUCUGCUUUUCUUUUCUCUUAAAAUAAGGGUAAUUGUGCUAGUAAAAUCAUCUGUUUUGAUUGUCAGAGGAAAGAGUAGUUAAACACCUUCUUGGUGCAGUUGUUUAAACUUUUGCUGGAUUCAUCUACUUUGCUUGUAGGGCUUGAUACAUGUUGCGCGAAAAAUGCCAAAGAAUGCACAUGCACAUUUUGUACUUGGCUUGAUGUAUCAAAGGAUGGGUCAGCCUCAAAAGGUAGCUUAUGGAUUCCAGUGUUCUUUUCCUGGGUCUGUUUUCAUUCUCUCUCUCGCACUGAACAGCUCAUUCUAGGCGAUUCUGGCAUAUGAGAAAUCGGAAGAAAUUUUAGUUCGCUCUGAGGAAGCAAUAGACAGGCCUGAGUUGCUUUCUUUAGUCCAGGUUCAUCAUGCACAGGUAUGAAUGAACUUACACUCAGAGAAAUUGCAAAUUUUGUAGUCAAUGUUUCUCUAUUAGUUUUUCAAACUUAAAUAUGUAAUUACUGCUAACCACAUACUUACACAUCUCUUCCUGGUGCAGUGUAUUCUGCUUGGAACCUUGGAAGAUUGUAGUUCAGAUGAGGAAUUAGACCCUGAAGAGCUUGAAAAUAUUCUUGCUAAACUUAAGGAGGUUGUGAAAUCUGAUGUUAGGCAGGCAUCCAUUUGGAAUGCUCUUGGCAUAAUACUUCUUAGAUCUGGUCGUUUGCAGGUGCUGCUAUGUUUAUAUUUUAGCUUAACUCAUUGACAUCUUGGAACUUUCUUUGAUUAUCGUUUGACACUUGUGGUUAUUGUAGAGUGCUAUAUCAGUUUUCUCAACUUUGUUGGACAUUUCCCCAGACAACUUAGAUUGCCUCAGUAAUCUUGGAAUUGCUUGUCUCCAGAGGUAUAAAGGGGCAUUAGAUUACUUAUUAUAUUAAUGUCAUCAUUUUAAUAUUCUCGUGUUUGAUCAAAUAAUACUAAUGAAAAAUAGAUUGAUCGUGAAGCUAAAAAUAAUUGGAGAGGUGGAGAAGCACUUGUAUUUAUGUGUUGAAAAGGGCAAAGAUAAAGAAUAUCAUAUAAGCUAAAUGAUGUUUUUAUUGACAUUGCAAUUGUAAAGGAGAAAAAUCUAUGACUUAUACUGUUCCAUUUAGUGAUGAGUAAAUCUUUUGUGCUGUCGCUUCCCUAUUCAUUGUGAAACAUAUAGUUUUUCUUUGCUUUUCAGUUUGAAUUAAAAUAUUUUUAGGGGACCUCAAGUGGUAAAAACCCUUUGGGUUACAUAAAUGAUCACAAAAUGGGAACAAAUAUGACAUUGGAUUUCUCUUUUCCUGAAGUCAUGCACAUUUGAUCAUAUCUACUGAUGAUUCAACUUGGCCGCUGGAACUUCUCUCUUUCAUUUAUAGACAAUAGAAUCUUCAGUAUCAUAUCUUGCUUAAGCCGUGUGGAAGUGAAAUUUGAGUUAUGAAGGCUUGAAAGUCUCAAAAUAAAAUUAUGUUUACUAAUGUUUGAUUAUGCUGAAGAAAAGUUUUGACCCAUUAUGUCGAAAAAGGGAGAGAAAAGGUUAAUCAACUCAUACUUUACUUUGAUUGUGGAUACUGUUCUGAUUAUAGAAAUUAUGCCUAAGCUUUUCCAACCUUGUAAUGUGUCUCUUAGCUGCUCACUCUGAUUUAUUGGCAAAAACGAUGCAAUAGCUUCAGACGGAUGGGGUUUGAAGAUAAUAAUGUCAUAAACUUACCCCUCAAAAAACAAAGUAUAGAGACUUAGAUUUCUAAAACGAUAACUUUUUAUGAUGGUCGUGAUUGAGCGAUGUUGUAUGGGGCAUAUUGUUGAUAUCUAUAUUUCAAGGGAAUAGCGAGAUAGACUAGGAUUGCCACAUAUUGUAUUGGAGCAGGUGGAUAAAAUAAAGGCUCAAAUUCGGCAUCUUGUGUGAUAAAAUAUGCCGCUAAAGGUAAGUUUUAUAAAGUGGUUGUUAAACCAACUAUGUUGUAUGGGGCGCAAUGUUGGGCGGUCAAGAACUCACAUAUUGAGGGUAAAUAUUGAAAUGGAUUUAUGAGCACACUAGGCAAGAUAGGAUAAAGAACAAACAUAUUUGAGACAAGGUGAGAAUGACCUCCGUGGUGGACAAGAUGGGCAAAGUGAGCCGAGAUGCUCAGAUUCUAGUGAUGAGAUGUGAGAGGUUCACUAUGGUGGGUCUGACUGGAGGUAUAGGUAAGGCAGAAAAAGAAUUAGGUUGGGAAGAGGUGAUUAGAUAGGAUUUGAAACACCUGCAGCUUACCGAGGACAUGACACUAGAUUGGAAGAUAUAGAGGUUGAGAAUUAGAGUAGAAGCUUAGUAGGUAGUCACACUAUCUAGUUUCCCUUAUCAGUGGUAUUAAUAUUUCUUUUCCUCUUCCUUCUUAUACUUCUUAUUAUUACUUGUUAUUUCUUUUGCGUCGGUAAUCGUAUUAUUUGUUUGUGCUCCUAGUAUUGUCCACUUGUGGAAUUUGACUAGGUAUGAUGUUGUUGUUGUUGUUGGCGGUGGUGGUGCUCGGGCUAGCUUUUUUGCACCUCGACUAGUCCACUAGCAUCUUCUCCCUCCUAUCAGUACAAGUACCGGGCAACUCUAGCAGCCGAGGCUUUGGCAAAAUGGAAGAAAUCGCCUAGUUCAGGGAUUUAAGCCUGAUACGUCAUAGUCUUCCACUUCAUUGACCACACCUUUGGGUGCUUAAAAAGCGUACUGUAUUCUGAUGGCGGUUAUCACCGUUCCAUUAAAAUAGAAGUGUUUAUCUUGUGGGUAGGGAGACCAUUUUCAGGAAGUAGCCUACUUAUUCUACCAUAAAUGGGAGAACCCUCUAUGUAUCUAUGACUCAGUCACUUCUUAAUAAUCAUCCUUCAAAGCAAAUCCCAUGACCUUAUACAACAAGAGUAAUUAAAUCUUGCAAAUGGUGAUACAGACAGUUACCUAUUUCAAGCUGUCACCAUUCUUGUGAAUCAGAUUAACCCAUCAUGGAUUUGAGUGGAACUUUAGGAUUCCUGGAGAGGUUGAUCAAAUGCUUCGUUCCAUAUAACUUCUUCAAUUGAUUAGAUCGUCUUAAUAGCAGUCACUGCUUUUAUAGGUUUUCAAUUUUUCAUACACUGGUAUUUUAUCAAAUGCAUAUUCUGCUUCUGUUAUCUGUGUUUGUCUCUUUUUUUUUAUUGGGAUGGGGGAUGUUUCUGAUGCUGUUAAUCACCUUUGGUAGAUACACUAACUGAUUAAUGUUUCACCAGCCAUGUCUUCCUAUAUUGUUCACUUGAGCUACUUUCUUUGCUGAAUUGAAUCACUUUGACAAUGUUUUUCCAGUGGGAAUCUAGAGCUUUCUGAGAAGUGCUUCCAAGAUCUACUUAUAAAAGAUCAGAAUCAUCCCACUGCAUUAAUCAACUAUGCUGCCCUUAUCUUAUAUAAAUAUGGUUCACUAGUGGCAGGUAAGAGGAUUUUGUGUUUUAUAAUUAUAUACUUAGGCCACCAGAUUUAUGGUUACAGAGCAUUGCAAAAAUUUACUUAGGCUAUCAAUUAUUUUACUGAUAGUGCUCAUUAGCAUGUUUUGAAACAUAGAUAUAACAAUUUUAAAGAAAAAGAAAACAGAGACUAACUAGUAAGCAUCGGCUGUUAGUUUCAGGUGCGGGGGCAAAUACUCUUUAUGGAACUUCUGCAGAUCAAGUCACUGCAGCCAAUGUUGCCAAAGAGUGUUUACUAGCAGCUUUAAAAGCAGACUCGAAAGCGGCUCACAUUUGGACAAAUCUAGCUAAUGCUUAUUACUUGAUGGGUGAUCAUAGGAGCUCUGCAAAAUGCUUGGAAAAGGUACUUCUUCUUCAAGGCGACAAUCAGCUUUAAACCUCACUUUUAUCUGUUCUUACAAGAUAUUGAUUCCUAGGCUUCUUGAAUAGAUGCAUUAAUGUUGAUCUUGUAUAAGUAAUUUACAUUCUUUUUCUUUAAUGAGUAGGCAGGAAAAAUUGAUCCUAAUUGUUUAGCGACAAGAUAUGCGGUUGGAGUUCACCGCAUCAGGGAUGCAGAGAGGUCCCAGAAUCCCAAUGAGCAGCUCUCAUGGGCUGGUAUUGAGAUGGCCUCAAUACUAAGAGAAGGAGAUUCUACUUCGAUAGAGCCUCCAGUAGCAUGGGCUGGUCUCGCCAUGGUCCACAGGGCCCAACAUGAAAUUGUGGCAGGAUUUGAAGUUGAGCAUAAUGAAUUGGUGGAAGUCAAGGAGCAUGCUAUCUAUAGUCUAAAGCAGGUAGGCUUUAAAGUUUUUAUAUUUUUAUCUAAGACUUAUUACUUAGUUUGAUAAGCUUUAAAGUGCCCAUCUCAUAUGGGAUGGGGGGAGUAGUUGAACAUGUGAUGAGGUGAUCUAUAUGUACUUCCUCUAUGGUGCAAGUGGUUACUUACGAAAUUGUUUUUGAGUUGGAAUUGCUUGAACUUAUCUUUUACUGUGAAAGGAAAUCAGUUGUCAAACUCUUUCUUGCAUGUGUUUACUGCAUUUAAGCUUCUUUAAUACCUUGCAUGUGUUUACUGCAUGUAAGCUUCUUUGAUUCCUUGCAUCGGCUUCCUGACCUUUGAUUUUCAUUAUGUUCUGCGACAGUCUUGCGAAAUGAAGUUUGGACUGAAUGCUUGGAUUUCUUAUUCUGAUUUUGCAAAUGACAGGCAAUAGCCGAAGAUCCUGCUGAUGCUGUUCAAUGGCAUCAGCUUGGCCUUCAUAGUCUGUGUACCCAACAAUUUAAGACGUCUCAAACGUACCUCAAAGCUGCAGUUGCACGCCGUAAGGACUGCACCUAUGCCUGGUCAAAUCUUGGUAAAUGCAUCUCUCUUACACAAUGUCAUGCACAUCUUUUUUCCUCCUCUUUUCUUCUCCAUAUUUGAUCAUCGUGAAAAUAGCCUUCAUGUCUUGCUGAAUUUUUUUUUGCACUAUAGGUAUUUCACUGCAACUAUCCGAGGAGUCUUCUCAAGCUGAAUCGGUGUAUAAACAAGCAUUGUCACUAGCUACACCAAAACAAGCGCACACAAUAUUUUCAAACCUUGGAAAUCUCUAUCGGCAGCUAAAACAGUAUGAAUGUGCAAAGGCAAUGUUCAAUAAAUCACUUGAACUGCAACCUGGAUAUGCACCUGCUUUAAACAAUUUAGGUCUUGUAUAUGUUGCUGAAGGAAAGUGGAACGAAGCAAAGGACUCAUUCGACAAGGCAAUCCAGGCAGAUCCAUUGCUUGAUGCUGCCAAAUCCAACAUGAUUAAAGCUUCUAACAUGCUCAACAUGUAUACCAGCAUGUCAUGAUGUCUGCGAUUCGUUCUAUUAAAAAUUUGUCCCCCUGUAAUUAUUUAGGUGGCGGGAGAAAAAAAGAAGGGUAGAUCUUAAGAUUUGGUAAUAUCAGCUUUUUUGGAUUUUAGUUUGUUAAACUUAGCUCCUUCUGGAGUUUUAGCAAAGUAGAGAUUCUUUCCAAAAUACUGAUGUCUCCUGCUUUCUUCACUUCCGCCAUGACUAUAAUUCAUGCUAUAGAUGUGACAAGUGCACCAGCAGUGGCCUUCGUUCAAAUUUAACUUACUAGAGAAUUUGAAAAUUUAGUCCAAUUAAUCGUUGAUGACAGGUUGAUACAGGCAGUGUGAAUAAUUUGAAUUGCAUUUCACAGUGUUCAUGUCUAACUUUCUGGUUUAAUGUUAUCAUGCAGGGUUGUGGUCAACCUGGAUUUACCCUGCUUGAGAUGAUUGGAGCCUUCAUUGAUUUGAAGCAGUUCAAUUAUUUCAAUCUUGUAAGUUGUCGAAACCAUUGUCUCUUAAAACAAGGAAUGCCAUUUUUAGAAUUGCUGUCUUUUUCUUUUUCUGUAUGCAAAGUUUCUACAGACUGGAUAGAAAUGCCAAGUUCAAUAGCAAUGCCAACUUCUUGAGGGAAAAUCAUAUUCCAUUUCUAAAGGUUUGUUAGUUUCCAAUGUCAGGGUUUAUCUUCUUCUUGUUAUUGCUUGCUAUUAUUUCUUACUUGUCAUCUCUUCUUGAGCCAGGGUCUAUCUAAGGUUUGCAUGUGCUCUAUUGUCCUCUCUCCAGUGAAAUUAUAUUGAGUAUGGUGUUGUAGUUUCCAAUUUCAAGGGUUGAAAUUGUCAAGCAUAAUUUUAGACCCAAUAAUUCGAAGUAUAGACAUGUUAGAUACUUUAUAAUAUUUGACCUUAACAGUUCUAAUUGUACACUCGCCUUAUCAAAUUUAUCUUUUUUUGGUUCCAACUUAAAUUUAUUUAUUUUGAUAUCAACAAAUAAGUCAUCUUACAAUGAUUCAUAUUAAUAAUUUAGAAAAGAAUUCUGACAUUUUACUUGUUCUUUUAUCUUACAUAUUAUUUUAUUGAAACGUGUACUUCAUAAUUUGAUGCAGAAAAACUAGUAAAACAAAAAGGAGACGGAAAAAUAGGGAAAUAGUGGGGGGCAUGUACGUGGGAAAGUUCAUCCGCGUGAAAUAAAAAAGUAUACUUUGCGUGAAGUGUACCAUCAGCCAACUUAUCGCUUCCACUUUCUUUGAUAUUUGAUACUAUUUAUUAUGAUAAACAAAUAUCAAUUCAUAUUGAAAAUUUUUACCAAAUCCAUCAUCUUUGAUAGUUAUAUUCCACAUACUUGAUAAUUUGUAAAGGUCA